rnacentral:lncRNA from 1 species
AUAAAAAUAAAGUAAUAAAAUAAUUAAUAGAUUCUUUUACCUUGGUGUGGACUGUGGAGUUGUGCCAUUCAAUGAGGGAGCUUUCGGGUCCUUAUUACUAUGAAUGGUGAGGAUUUCCACUUGUCCUCCUUUUCCUGCAAGACUAUAUAUUUAUGUUAUUGAUGCUCAAGUUGCUAUAUAGGAUAUUAAAAAAAAAAAAGCAUGUGAGGGACCAGAGCAAGGGGUUACUAUUAUUAUGAGGCCAAAUUUAAUUUGGGAGAACCCUGGGGUCGGGUUUGUGAAUUUGCAAUUUGUGGCAAUGUUCACUUAAGGGAAUCCAAAACAAGGAGUAAAUUUGUAAAUAAUGUGGGGCUAGGUGAGAGAGGGCCUUGUGACUAAUUUGAUGGAUGCAGCGGAAUGCCUACUUCUAAAGGAAAGAAGCUUUUACAACAUGAAGGUAUGUAUCAUAUGCAUCACUUUAUAUUUACCAUAGAAAGAAUACACAAAUGGGGCAUGUUUAGAUGUUCUGGAGAGAACUUAUGUGUAACAAUUGCAAUCUAGAAGAUUAGUUCUAAUCCAUUUCGAUGUCCAUUAAAUCAUGAGUAAACUAAUUUUAGUUUAAUGCAAAUAAGAAUAAUGAAUUUAACAUACAGAAUGAUUUACCUUAUUUCAAGAAAAAUGAAUUAUUCUGACAAAUUACCUUUCAAAAAGUAAGCAUUUUGAUGAAUAGUUUGAAAUAUUAAGAUGUUUUCCACGUCAAGUUGAUUUAGUCAUUAAAAUAUUCAUUGGAAAAAGAAUAAGGUAAAGAUGAUUACUAUGGAAACUCCCUAAAACACUCAGAUAAAUUAGACAACAUGUUAAAAAUCUAAUUUACAUUCUCUAAUGGCAGCACUUAGCAGCGCAAAAUUAGUAAAGACUCUGAGAGACACUGCCUUUUCAAGUUAUAAGCAUAGUUGGCUGCAAAAUUAAUCAGGUACAUGAUCCUUUAAAAAGCUAGUUUAUGUCAAGAAUAAUAGAGUGGCAUUGAACAGAGGAAUCUACAGAACAGAUUAUACAGCAUGGAUAUCAGCAAUUAUUCCAGCAAGGUAGUAGAUGCAUCAUCAAUUUUUAUAUGUUCUUUUUAUUCUUUGUGUGUGUAUAUAACCCCCAUGACUAUGCAAAAUUGUUUAAGUAUUCCUAGAAAGUUGGUAUUUGCGGGUGUGCUCGUUACUCCUGGAAGCAUAUUUAUUUGUAGUUAUGCCAGAGUAUACAUACAAAAGUGGUUUUUGCAUAGGCACACAGGCACAGGCAGGGACACAUGAAAUGAACAAAUACCAACUUGACAGGAGAACUUGCAUAAUUCCACAUACUUGCACGAGGUUAUAUGCAUAAAGACUGACAGUUAUAUACACAAAGAAUUCAGGCAAGUGAUCGCCGAUCUUAGCAUUGUACAAACUGUUAUAAUGUUUCUGGCUUACUUGGAUGAAAGAAGAUGCAGAACCCAAUGAAUCUGCUUGCAGGAAAAGCUCUAGAUAUCUUGUUGCAGCAUGCUGACGAGUCGAAGGCAGUAAGAGAAAAGAAUCAAGAAGUAAAUUGAAUUACUUCUCAGAAUAUAAAGGCAUGGGAAGAAUGAGAGCGCAUAUUUGAUGACGCCACCAAAGAUUCAAAACAUCUCAAAGCAACUCUUAUCUUCGAGGUUUCAAUAAUGAUGUUUCGGCAUUUUUACUUGCCAUGCAAAAAAAUAGAAGUUAAUGGACUUUGCAUUUUUAUUUGCCAUGCAAAAAAUAGAAGGUUAUGGCCUUUCUCUAACUCACAAUAUGCCAUGACGAUGCUAAAGCAAAAUGAUCAUCCAACUUUAGUAUAUGAAAAUCCUUCCCUGAAAACAGCAGAAUCCUUAAGGCAUCAAUCAAUCUGGAUUAUAUCCCCCUUUAAAUAGAUAAUUUUUAAAGGAGAAUUAUGAGAUCAAAGAGAAGAUAUUAGCCCUUUGUCCAUGUAGAAAGAUCUCACAGGACAAUUGAUGAUACAAUGCCAUCUAUGUUCCCCAUCAUUGCAAUACCAUUAUAAACUCUACAGCAUAUAGCUUAUUUAGAGUUAUUUUCCACUUUGUACUCGUAAAAUUCCAUCACAUUGAGCUACUCCAUGAAACUUUACCCUUUAGCUCAAACCACAUAUCUACAGCAAUGCACUGUCUCGCUGCUCACAUUUGCUAUCAAUGGCAUGAUGUAACUCUCUUUUGUAGACCCAAAAAUUAUCUUCAUUAUAGAGGGCUCAUUACCUGAUAUCCAUGAGGCUACAGAAAAAGAAACAAGCAACUCUUAUAUACCUUCAUAGUUAUUUUUUACCUAUAACCCUCAUCUCCACAAGAACACUUCCCAUCUUUAAAAUGGUGGAAUUGCUCUGUGUCCCUCACUGUUAUAUCUCGCCGCACAACCUUUGAAAUCAACUUUAAAAUUCUAUGACACCUCUGACACAUAUACAAGUUCUUGGUAACCCAAAUCGGCGUCCCAGGCACACUAUUUAUGAGUCCAAAAGAAACAGCUAAUCUCUCACUAUGGCCACAAAAUAUAUCGCUCUUUGAUUCUUCAAGGUCAUUCGACGAUUGAUCCUCAAGAAAAUAACCCGCUGCUUUAAUCCUACCGUAAAGGCCACCUAAGACAGCAUUGAUCUCCUUGAUCUGUGGAUGAGAUUCAUCACCACUAAGAAAUGCAUGAACGGUUCCUUUAACCUCAACCCAACUGCAUCCGGGAUCAAUCUCUAAUUCCUUAUCUCUCAUCAUCUUUCUAACUCUAGCCACUUGAUCCCAUCUUCCCCCAUCAGCAUAUAGGUUACAUAAGAGUAUAUAGUAUCCAAUUUUUUCCGACUCCAAAUUAAAUAUGAACUCAGCAGCAAGUUCGCCAAGCUCAAUAUUGCGGUGUAUUCUGCAUCCAUUCAACAGUGCUCCCCAUAUGGCAGCAUCUGGCUCAAUGGGCAUUUCUUUUAUGAAUCUGUGGGCUUCCUCCAAAAGCCCUGCACGUCCCAAAAGGUCCACCAUACAAGCAUAGUGCUUUAAAUUCGGGACUAUGGAGUAGUUUUUACUCAUGCUGUUAAAAAAGUUCCAACCUUGACUAACCAAUCCACACCUACUACAAGCACAAAGGAGAGCAACAAAUGUAACUUCAUCUGGCUUCACUCCAGCAUCCACCAUCCAAUCGAACAAUUGAACGGCGAGAUCACCUUGUCCGCGCCCGGCAUAGCCUGUAAGCAUGAUAUUCCAAGAUACCACGUCCUUCUUCUCCUGUAUAUUGAACUGAGACCAAGCAUAUUUUGUCCUUCCACACUUAGCAUACAAGUCUAAGAGCGCAUUUGCAAGAUAACCCUCGGAUCCUAAACCAUUUCUCAGAGCUUGAGCGUGAAUCUCCUUUCCGCACAUCAAUGCUCCAACUGCAGCGCACGCGGAAAGGGCAGCAAUGAAUGUGAUAGAGUUGGGUUUUACAUUGGCUUGCAUGCGGCGAAAGAAGCUCAAAGCUUCAAAACUCCUAUGAUUUAUGCGAAAGCCAGAGAUUAUUGAACUCCAAGAUAUCACAUCUUUCUCAGGCAUGUGCUUGAAUACUUCAAUGGCUUUAUCGAUGCAUCGAGACUUUGAAUACAUAUCGACAAGAGUAUUUCCAACUAUAGUAUACGGAACAAGCCCUUUACUUCUUGCAAGUUCGUGUAACUUGAUGCCGAUAUCUAAACGACCCAAGCAGGCACAGGCCGCAAGUACACUAGCUAUUGUGACCUCAUCAGGUUUCAUGUUUUGGGCUUCCAUUACUUCAUAGACUUCCAGAGCCUUACUCGGGGAACCAUUUUUCUCAUAACCAGAAAUCAUCGCGGUCCAUGAAACAACAUCCUUGAAUUCCAUUCUAGAGAAGAUUUUCUCAGCUUCGCUCAGUCUCCCAAGACUGGAAUACAUCUGAAUCAAUGCGUUAUGGACUGAAACGUCAGCAAUGAAAUCUUUCUUGAUCGCAUACCCAUGAAUCUCCUUUCCUAAACUCCAAUCGCUCAAUGAUCCAUAAGCAGAGAUCACACUCGUCAUUGUCAUAAGGUCCGGUUCAAUAGAACGAUUUCGCAUGGUGAGAAACAAUGCUAACCCUUUAACAGACUCCUCGUUCUCAAAAUAUCCAGCAAUCAUUGCAUUCCAAGAGAUACAAUCUCUUUUAGGCAUAUCAUCAAACACCUUCCGUGCAUUCACCAAAUCACCGCACUUUGCAUACAUGGUAAUCAAAGCGUUUAGAACAUCAGUUUCCGACGCAAACCCGAAUCGAACUACAUGGCCAUGGACCUCCCUGCCCAGAUUAAGAUCGGGAAUACCUCCGCAACUCCUCAGAACGCAAGGGAACGUGUACACAUCCGGUACAAUGCCGGCCCAUAUCAUCCUUUGAUACAAAUCUAACGCCUCCUCCAUAAACCCGGCCUUUCCAUACCCACCCACCAUCACAUUCCAGGAAAAGACGUCUCUUUGAACCAUUUUACCGAACACUGACCACGCAACAAGGAGAUUCCCAAACCGAACAAACAUGCUCAGCAGCGCGUUCCCGAGGCGAAGCGUGAGAUGGACACUCGUGGAAUCGAUGUGGGAGUACACGCGCGAGCCCUCGGCGACCGCCCGCUUCCAUUCGCAGAGCCUGAGGAGGGCGACAUAGGUGGUCUCUUCGAGCGGGUCCUCCGUAGAAGAGGAGUCGAGAAGGAGGAUAGCUUGGUGUAAAUGGCCAUGGACGCAUAGGCGGCGGAUGUGGAGGUUGAGGUCGGAGGAGGAGGAGGUGGUGGUAAUGGCGUUAGGGGUAGGAGAAGAGAGUGUUGAGGACUUUUUGGGGGAGAUUUGUGGGAGAACGGGGUUGGGGAAAGGGUUUAGAGUUUUGGGUUUCGGGGGUUUGGGGGAGAAGGGGAUUGGGGCACUUUUUGUAUAAAUUGACGCCAUUGUUGGAGGAGGGAGAGUGCAUGGUGUUUUUGUGGAGAGGGGUUUUGGGAGGGGAAAAGCGUGGAGCAUUUAAACUUAAAAGAGAGGGGGCUUCAAAUGGAUAAGAUUAUGAUUUUAUUAAUAAGUUUAAUUUAAUUUGCUCACGUAUACGUGACGCAUGCGACAUGUCCCUGUCUUAAAGUAGGUAAAUUAUAGUUGUGUGUCGUAAUUAAAGGUCUAAAUCAUAUUUUUAGUGCAUGUUAUUUACUAAUGGUGGAUUUUAAUAUUUUAUCGAACCCACGGCAUCGAAAACAAAGCCUUUGACAUUCCAUUAUAUUUGAUGAUAUUUUAAACUAGUUUGGAUUUUUAAUCAUGUCAAAAAUUAUUGACUAAAAUAUUUGUGACUUAAAUGUAACAUAAAAUUGCUUCUUAUGCAGAGUUUUUUUAUAUUCUGGUUCUUGAUCUCUAUGCCCCCGUUUGGUUCGGGGUUAAGAAAAAGUAGCUAUUACAGGAAUAGGGUUAAGUUCAGGAUUAAAAUGGUGUUAAAAUUUUUUUGUGUUUGGUUGGAGGUUGGAGUUAGUCUAGGAUAGUGAAAAAAAAUGUUUGGUUGGAAUAGAUGGAUAAGAAGAUAAUGAUUGAUAAAGAAGAAAAAGGUGAGAGCUCGAAAUGCGUGCGGGGUUAAAGUUGGGAGGGGGAGUGGGGUUAAUGAUUGAUAAAGAAAAAAAAGGUAAGGGCUUGGGAUGCGUGCGAGGUUAAAGUUGGGAGGGGGAGUAGGAUUAGUAAACCUCACUAACCCGGUUUGGGGUGGGAUUUACUAACCCCACCCCAAAAAAGUGAUGUUUGGGUAUAAAUUGGGGGUUAAGGGGUUAUUCCACCCCUUAACCCCCAACCAAACGGUGGUCAGGAGCUUGAGCGGAUUGUGUCACGGCCCACAGAGUUAUCGAUUUUUUUGAACUCAGGGGUAGGGUGAUGCCGCAAUUCGCGCCAUACAUGAACCAGGAGAUGACAUACUUGCGCUCUACAAUUUCACCAAAAGCAUUACACGAAACAAAUUGUGCCCCUGCUUCAAAUAUAAUAGAUAAGUAAAUAUUUAAAAUAAGUUUUUUUUUUAAAAAAAAUAAAGAUUAGGUUUUAUGAGUUGGCAAAAGCAGCAUAGAUCUAUUUGUUGUGUACCCAUGCCUGAGCCCAACAAACCUAGAUAACCUAUUAGCCAUCGAAGCAAUGUUGACCCGUAACUAUAAUGGGGUCGGAUUCUGCAAGAUGUCGUUCGCCAUUUGUGAUUCCCUUCGUACUCGGGGAUGUUGUAGUUGGUUCAACGAAUAUCUAACUCCACAAAUGACAAAAUAGUAAUCUUCUUCCACACAAUUUAAUCAUUGAGCAUUUAUUAAGGGCUCGUCAUUUUUUUUUUUUUAAAGAGAUAUGUAGCAUAUUAUUCGUUCCGUUUAUUUUAUUUAGAAAUAAAUUUAGCUAGAAAUGUGAAUCAACUAGGAUUCGAACUUAGGUAUCGACUACCAACCACUAAGUCCUUUACCACUUACUCUAGAGACGGUCGGUGCCUCGCCAUUUAUUUAUAUAGUAUAGUAUUAUUAUAUGUUGUAUACAGUUGGCCAUAUAUACGACUAUAAUGUGACAGGUAAAAGCCAAGACAUUUUCCUUUCUUUUUCCCGUCUCCUCAUUAAUUCAAAUACGUGAUACAAUUCACCAAUCAGGGCUUCUCAAACAAUUAGACCAACAAAUUAACACAGAAAAUAAGAGCAAAAUAUAUAGACAUAAUAUAUACAGUUCAACUUACAAACUGACAAACAAGGCAACCAACUCAACCAACCCCCAAAAUGGCUAAAUCAGACCAAAUUAACCUGCUGCUACCAACCACACCACUUCACAAAGCCAUCAGUGAUUUGCUUUGAGAUCGGUGCACCUGAGUCCAAGUCUUUAGUUUUUGUUUGUUUGGAGUGCAGGAGCUACGGGCAGAAUUAAUUGACAUGCCGUCGCCGUCACUGUGGCCGUCGCCGUCACUGCUGGGUCACCAGUAUUGUGCGGCGGCGUCGGCGGAGGGGGACGGGGAGGGAGAGGGCCAGAGGCGGGAGAAGGUGGAGGAGAGGGCGAUGCCGGCCAUGUUGAGGCCCUUAGUGCCGCAGUCCGGCAGGGGGGCCCACCGCCAGCGGGCGCGGUCGUAGGAGAGCCACGCCAAGUCCCAGGAGCCCUUGCAGUUGGAGAGGAGCACCAGCCUCACCACCCCGUCCCUCUCCGCCAGGCAACCCAUCAUCACCCCGUACGGCUUCCUGAUCUCCUCGAUCCCCUCCCGCGGCACCCGCGACGUCAUCUCCCACGCGCACUCACCGCCGCCGCCGCCGCCGCCGCGCGGGGCCAUCCCCCACAGCUCCACGCCGGUCACCACGCGCGCGCGCGCCCUGCCCCCGGCCCCCUCCUCCGCGGCGGCCGAUCGGAUCACCGCCACGUGGCCGUUGCCGUGCACGUGCAUCCGGUCGCCGGCGCGCGGGUCCUCGCCGGGGGGGAAGCGGGGCCGGUACACGACCGGGUCGGGGCCGGCGCGGAGGACGAGGCUCUCGGGGCCGGAUUGGGCGACGUGGAGGUAGACGUCGGCGGCGUCGCGGGCGGGCGGGGCGGGGGCGGGGCGGCUUCGAAGGAGCGCCAGGCGUCGGCCGUCGGAGCGUACUCGAAGAGGAAGGGCGGUGGUGGACGAGCUCGGCGAAGAGGAAGCGAAGCGGAGGGGAGUGUGGGCGGGGCCGAGGUCGGAGGAGAGAGGUGGGAGGGGAGCGGCGCCAGGAGUGGAGUGUGCCGCGGGGGCCGAGCGGGAGGGGAGGCGGCGGAGGGAGCGGGAGGAGAGGUCGACGGCGAGGUAGGGCGCGGAGGCCAUUGGAGCGAAAGAGGAAAAGAAGGGCCGAGGCGGCGAGGAGGAAGGGAGCGUCCUCCCGGGGGGGAGGAGGAGCGGUGCCACGGGGAUGCGGAACCAGCGGGAGGCUGCGCCGUGGAAGCCCCGGAGCACGGCGUCGCGCGGGGGCCGCUUCUUGAAGACGAAGACCCAGCCAUGGGAGGAGGCGGAGGAGUGGCGGAGGUGGUAGAGGCGGCGGAAGGAGUCGGAGGAGAGGAGGGAGGAGAGGGGGCGGGAGACGGAGCGGAGGCGCAGCAGGUCGGGGAGGGAGAGGCGGAGGAGGAUCUCCUGCACCAGCAGCUCCCAGGGGAGGAGGCACAGCCCCACCGCCGACGACGACGACGAGUACUGAUCGGCGCCGUCCAUUCGGUCUGGUCGAUUCUUUUAUUUUUUUUUUGUGGGGGGGGGUGGAAUUUAUAGACAGAGGAGAAAACAGGACAUGAAAUGAUGAGAAUACAACGGUGGGCGUUGGGGCCGACCGCCGUUGGAUUCUUGUUCUCUCUGAGGUCUCUUAUUAAUUAGUCAUGACUGUCUUUUCCUUUUUUUUUCCUUUUUUUUUUUUAGGCCUAAAAAUGAAGCGUGUAAUUUUUUACGCUAUUACUAUGCUUUAAACACUAUAUUAUAUUAUAAUAUAAUUACAUUAUUAGGGAUUACCAUAGAUUAAGGUUCCUAGUUUCAUGUAUGAAUAACUUGUCCUUAUAUCUCUUAUUAUUUAUUUAAAAAUUUUAUAGUACUUUUAUGUGAUCAAAUAUUUAGGAUGAUUUUUUAUAUAUUCAGCCUUUAAAUCAAAAUAAGAUAAGUUAAUUAUUUUUCAGUAAAAUACGUUAUUCUAUUUAAUUAUGAAUCUCAAAGUUUUUUAAAUAAAAUUAAGCCCCCUAAUUUGCAGUCACUGAAUAAUAGGUUUUGACAUUCAAGCAUGGUCUAAUGACUCUCCUUAAUACUUGUUUCUUCUUCGUCGUCUUCUUCUCUUUUUUUCUUUGGUAGCAACAUGUUUUUUACAAUGUUGGACAAAGAAAACACUUAAGAAGUUCCGCUCGGGUGCAAAGUAAAUUUGCUUCUAAAAGCAUAUUUGGCUCAUGCUUUUUCAUUUUGUUAUGGAAGAUCUAUUACAACAACAAGAAGAAACAACAUUCUAAACCUCAAAUUUAAAUGCCAAUAGCAGGAUUAGAACAAUUUUUUUUCUUAAAAAAAGUAAUAGUUUGUUAGUGUUUCAUUCAUUUUUUUAGAAAUGAACUUAUUCGGAAACAUAAACAACUUAGGCUUCGAAUUUAAAACCUUAAGCAUUAACAAUUAAGUCUUUGCCACUUACACUAAAAACGGUCAGUAGAACUAUUAAUUUUAUUUUUGUCAUUAUGACAAAUUAUAUAAUUUUUUGCACACUUAUUAGAGAAACAACUUGUAGACCCUACAAAUAAUAAGUAUAUUUACGGGGACGUUAGCAGUGGUGUUAAUAAAUCCAUCACUUUAAGCUAUCUAUAAAACUGAUCAAGGACAUGGUUUUUGGAUUAGGUAGAAAUGCUAAUUUUCAAUAUUAAUCUUUCCGUAGAAGGUGAAAAUUUCUAACUGAUCUAUUUUCCGAAAAUUGCAUACAGUGUAAUUUUUACACAAAAUUAUGUAAUUUUAUUUUGCAGGUCACUACUUUCAUCGUCCAAAUGUUUCAAAAAAAAAAAAAAAAAUUAAGAUGAAUGAUUUUCUCAAAAAAAAUUCAAGGGGUUGACUUGCGAAAGCCCUAAUAAUUAGGCAUUUAACUCUAGAAGCAAUGAUGGAAUAUUCAAAAUUUUCAAGGGGCAAAUAGUUAAAUUGGGAUGACUAAGCAAGCAUGCGCGCGAAGUUACGAAGGACCAUUAAAAAAUUUAGAAGCAAUUGCGUCCAUUGGUAGUGGAAGGGCCAUUAUGUACAAGUCAUUUAGCUUUUAUUUAGACUAGGAAAAACUUUCACAUAUAUCAUAUGCGAAGAAAAAUAGUUUAUUGAUAUUUUGCAUAACGAUGUUAACAUCAACACCAAAUGAGUAAUAGAAAAUCGAUAAUAAAAGAAUCGUAGGCUUAUAGUGCUAAAAAUAGGCCAAGCAAAAGCAUAGGUUAUGAUGAUAAGAGCAUCUAAUUGUUCUUUGUUUGCUUUAUGGCAAGCAUCUAACCUUUAUCUUAAGAUAGUGUCAAAAUAUAUAGUACCUAAUUUGUAUCGUGGACUUCUUGUAAUGCAUCUUUUAUUAUAAUUUGCGCCAAUUAUUUGUGAUGAAAGAUAAAGAGAAUUUAAUGUUGUUGAUAAAUUAUCUUGAAUUGUUUAACUCUGUGAAUUAUUUUGUUAUAAUUUAUUGAAGCAAGCAACUUUUCCCCUACCCAAUACUCUCUCCCUAUUGAAGCAAUUUGAUUUCACGUGAUUGCUUUUGCAUUUUAGUCUUAACUGCAUAUAAAUUCAAAUACAAUAUUUGAAUCAAUAAUUUUGAGUGCGACUGCUGUAAUUAAAACCACACAAAAAGAUUCAACAACUACAGCUGUAACUCACAAAAAUUAAUUAUAGUUUUAACUGUAAAAAUUGCCAAAGAGUCAAAUCAUCAAACUUUUUUUUUUUUAAAAAAUCUUGAAAUACCAAACUACAGUAAUUACAAUUUACAACUGCACAAAAUCAAACAAACUACAAAAAUUAUAACUAUUACAUUGUAUAUAUAAUUAUAUUCAAUGAAACGAACCUCAGAGAAAAUGGUAAUGUCACUGAGAGUGAGCCCUCAAUUGGAGACGAUUAUCUAUAGCAAAAGUGGAGUUUAAUCUCUUUUAACAUUACCAAAAGAGUUGGUAAUGACAACUACUGUGAAAAUAGUAGAUAAUUAGAUAAGCUAUUUUGUCCUAAGAGGCCAAAAUAAUCAACUUGCAAGAAAAUCUAAUAGCAAUUUGAUUUAUAAAAAUGUUAGAACUUGUUUUAUAUUUAGCCAAGGAUCUCUUCAACUGGAGGUAAUUUCAAUUGAGAAAUUUCAUUUUGUUAUUUCAGAUAACAAGAUUUUGUGAGACCUUUCCCUUUGAAUUUGGAUCAUUGCUAUGUUCAUAAAUGAUCACCCCUCACAAUGUUGCCAGGUCCAUCCAAUAUUUGGGACAAAAUUUUACGAACAUACUCCCAAAAUAAUCCUAUUUGGGUAUUGAUCGGAUGGUUGCCACAUGGCGAGCGGCGCCUAUCUCAACCGUCCAGCAAAAAUAUUAUUAUUUCUGGGGUAAAAUCUUGGGUCCAGAUUCCAGAAGAGCUCCGCUUUUGCUGGGCGUUUGGGAUGAACCCGCUCGCCAUGUGGCGCCCAUCCGGAUGCUUGGAGAGUAUAUCCAUAAAUUUUUGUCCCAAUAUUUGUAUAGUGUGUGUACAAUUAUUAUUUAAGAUGAAGACGCGAUUAUACUAUCUAAUUAUAGAUCUGUUUGGUCAAUCCGUACGAAGUGAUGUUUCUGUAGAAGUAUUUUACAAUAUGGUAUUGUCCGAUAUAGUGUUGUAUUAUUGAAACAAAAUUAUUGAGUCUUUAGUAAUUCUAUCAUAUAAUUGGUUUCUACAAUUAAACGCUAUUUGUUUAAAAUUCAUCUUAAAAAUAUUAUAAAAUAUUAUAAAUUUAUAAAAUAUUAUUUUUAAUAUUUUUCUCAAUAAAAUUAAAAUACUAUUUUUAGGUUUUUUUUUGCAAAAAAAUAAAAAAUUAAAUCUAAUGAGUAAAUCUCAAACUGAAUAUAUAUAUAUAUAUAUAUAUAGAUUACGUUCAGCUUUUAAAACAAUGAUUUAUCAAACCGACUCCGACUCGGAUCCGUCCCAUUCGGUUCCGCUCCGUUCACUGGCCAAAGAAGAGGGCCGUGUUUAAAGUGGCACGGGCCCACGGGGCUGAGUUGAUUGGGUCGUAAUGGGUCACGUGUUUGGACGGCCCGUUCAAUCUCCACCGCACGUUCGUGGAGACUGGUGCUUGUACUUGGUUUUUCUACGCGCAUCUGGAUGAGAUCACAGGUGCGUUAAUUUUCGGGAAAAAGAAGAUACAAAAAGUGAUUUGUUUUCAUAUUUUCUUUUUGGGAACACGUGAAACGCAAGUAAAAAAGUGAUUUGUAUAAUAAAGCCCAAAGAAAGUUUGUUUUCAGAGACCAAACUAAGCAAAAAAUUUAAAUUAAAGCUACACUUCUUCAAUUUUCGAUGCUGUUCUUUAUUUCCGCAAGCCACAAAAAAGGAAAAAAAAAAUCAAGUUCUCUUUGAAAUCCAAGAUAUAUAUACGUAAAUUAGCCUAUUGUAAGCAAUAACCAAGAUUCAAGAUUCCUGAGGAGGAGAAAAAUGUGUGUAUGCGCACAAUAAGAAAAGGAGCAAAACAUGCAUCCUCAAAAUGAAACAUUUUUUUUGUUUUCGUGAAAGAGAGUUUAGAUGGGCCAAAAAGGAAAAACAACAAAAAUAAAACAAGGUAAACGAGAACAUUAAAAAACAAACAACAAUAAACGGUCAAAAAUUGCCUACACUUAAAACCAAAUGAACAACUGCAUAGCUUCGCUUAAGCCUCACCAUUUAUCAUCUUUAUGGUAGUAAAAAUAUAUUCCACCAUUACCCUCUCGCCGCUGCUCAUUUCCGACCAGAAAAUGGAGCGAAGAUCUACUGAACGCCGGCGGAGCUCUCCGACGAACUGCUCUCAGACUCCGGAGCCAACUUCGGUUCCACCACCGACCCAUUCGACGACUUCUCGUGAACAGAUCCAUUCUCGACGGAGAUAUCGAUGACCGAGUCCUUCGCCUUCUCUUUCAUGCUCUUCUCCUUCACGAGCUCUUCCUUAGCCAGGGCAGAGAAUUGGGUGUCCAAAGACCUCGCCGCGCCUAACCAGGCGAGAACAAUGACUAGGAGUAUGCCACCAAGGUAGGGAGUCGAGUUGGCGAGAGAACCGAAGGUAAGAAUCAUGAAUUGCUGGAUCAGGGCUCCGCCGGAUUUUCCCAAGGGGUUGCACACGACAUCGAUGGCGGCCUUUCCUUUAACCUACAAGCAAGUUUAAGAAAAGAAUGAGUUAAGAUAUCUAGUCAUACAACUACUAAUCUACUUAAAAACCAUGAACUUUAAAUCCAACCACCAUAUAAGAGGCAAAGUUUGAUCUUGGUACCGAAAAAUCGUAUCACCUCUUAUUUAAUAUAACGGAUAAAUAAGAAAAGCACUAACAUAACUAUGCGACAUGUACAAUAUUGUGCCACAUAAAGAAUACACAAAAUAGCAUCGAAAUAGAUUGCUUUUCACGAUGAACAACUAGGCUCAACCAACCCACAAGCAGUUUUCAGAGAAGUUGAAACAAAUCAAUAUCCACGGUCUCUAUUAAAACUUAAAAGUAAUUUGUCACACCAUAUACUUGUGCAAAAGCAAAUGAAUAAUUCGGAAUAAUAUGAGGGUACAAGUAUGUACACACCUUCAUAUCUUCGUCUAGAGGGAUGUAAGCCAUCUCCUUGCAGGGAUCAAAUAAACUGUACUUUGCACUCUUACUGAAGAUAUUCUGCAACGCACCCACGUAUACAGCCGCGAGAAGUGGAGUCAUCCCCAGACUAGCCAACAUCGGAGUCAAUGGCUCCCCAAACAAAAGGAGAGAGAAGAAUCCAACACCGGUGAGCAGCAAAACUGUUGGAGUGAUCAUUGCAGCAACACCCCACCCGAAUUUCCUAAGUAUAACCCGGCCCAGUAACAUCAUCGUGAAAGUCGCGAUUCCGGUGGCAGUCGAGAAAUCACCCAUAAAGGAAGAGUAUUCGUUCGGACUAGGAAACUGCCGAAAUGAAUAAAAUAAGAUUAAAGAAGAGGAUAAAACGGGUUGCAGAGUCUGUAAAAACUGAAGUUUAAAAACAGAGAAGGCCAUAGAUACCAGAAAAAGGGGUAUUUUAGAGACCCAGAUUUUGCGGGGAUAUUUAUGCAUCUCAAAAAGGGGGGGAAAGAAGAUUACCUGCGCCUUGAGCUUUGAUUUCCAGGUGACUUCUACGAGGUUGAUACUUAUGCCAUAAGCAACCACCAAGGUCGCAAGAUCCCUCACAUACCGUGAAGAAAGCAAAACCUUCAAACUCUCUUUCAUGCCUAGUUUGGGUUUCUCCUGUAAAAAAGCAAACCAAAUAUCAGGAGAAAAUUUAAAAAGAAAAGAAAGGGAAGAAGUAGUUGAGGAAAGAUGAUGCAGCCAACCUUCUUUUUCUUGCGAUCAGAUUUCGGAAGAGAGGGGUCGCUCAGGACAAACUUAUUAACUCCCCAGUAGAUACCACUAAUCACAAGGCCCAGAAUCACCACGAUGCUCAUCAUUCCUUUCAGAGAUAUUGCCCAACCAUCGACGCCCGGGCCCAAAUUCUUGCGCAAGUUGGAGAAGUAUUUCACCGUACGACCCGAGAAGAUGAGGGCAAUAUUCGCCCCAAGACCAAAGAGAGGAUAGAAUUCUUUCGCCUCCUCGACAGUAGUGAUCUGAAAGAGAUCAAAUAGAAAAGAUAAAUCCAGCCGAAAAAAUACAAAAAAAAAAUUUGUUUUUACGAUAAAGCCGACUAAAGGCAGUAUAUGCCAGUACAGUUGUAUGUAUUAUCUCAGUUAAAACAAAAGUAAACUCCAAUGUAAAUGAAUCAAUAAGAAAAGAAACACUUCUUCCGAAUGGAUGACUUAAGUAAGACAAAUUCUAAAGAUGAAAAAGAUAAUUGCGAAAAAAAAAACAUGGUGCUUUUUACGGUUUAAGUCAUUAAAUCGUCCUCCUCUAUAAAUACUUUGGGGGCUCAAUUGACGAAUCACAAUUUCGGACAGAGAAGGGAACCUUCAGUCUCCCAUAUUUUGAUGAACAUGAGGAAACACUGGACUACCAAAUAUAAAAUUCAGACUCGACAUUGGUAAUAAUAUCCAUCUCGCAGCUACAGCAUGUAGAAUAGGAUCAAAGAAAAUCUCACCAAAGAAUUUCGCAAUAUAUCAAUAGGAGAAGUUCAGAAACUCCCAUUCAAAGCGCUAGCACAGAAUCUAAGCAAUUAAAGUACCAAAUAAAAAGACUCUGAAAAAUAAGAUCCUAGAUGGUUCAAAUAGUUUAUCGAAUUAUGAGAUAAGAGUUAUCAUCGGAUCCGGCAAAAGAAGAAUCAGAUAAUUGAGAUGGCAUCGGACAAAUCGAAAAUCCACGUUUUGUCAUAUUUCGCUUUUUGAGGUACCAAAAUCAGUUAUCUAUUUCAAACUGAAGUGUUUUAGACAAAGGUGAAAUCUUUACAGAUAUCAAAUCAUUAGCACAAAGAUGCAAGAGUGACUGAGGAAACACUGUACUGAAACACGAAUCAAAUUGUAUCAAACAACAGCAACACAGUUGGAUUCUCAACAAAUCAUGUAAUGAAAGAACAGCAUAAAAUUACUAAAACUAGAAACAGUAUUACUGAUCAAAGAUCACAGACAAUAAUGCAUACAAUACUAUUAGAUUCUUGUACCGUAAAAGAACAAUCUUAGCUCAGUAUACUGAACGUCACAACUAAAAUCAGAACCUUAACAUUCUCUUGCAGUGAUUAGAGGCGCAAUUAUACCUGAUUAGCAAAUCCCCAGAAAAGAACCGAUAUCACCACGCUCCCCCACAGCUCCGCCAUGACAUAAAACAAGCAAAAGCUCCAUAUCCUCAGGAUAGCAACCGGGCCGAGGAAGCUCGGCCCGAGGGUGGCGACGAGCCUAUCGGCCAACGCGGUGGGGUGGAUAACGUCUCUCAGCGGAUAAAGAACGAAAGCGAAGGCCCCGAAGAAGGCGAUAAAGGGGAAUAUAACAGUGUAGAAAAGAGCCUCCUUUGAGAGCACAUUGGAGAGUUUGGUGUACAAGAGCAUGAACCCAAUUGCCAUGGGCAAAUUCACCCACGUCUUAAGGAAGGGUAUAAUCUCCGCGCUGCUCCCCUUCGCGGUCACCACCAACACAUCCUUGGUAUCCCUAAGAAUAGUAUAAUUGAACAAGAUACAAAAGAACAUGAUCCCGAGUGGUAUAAUCUUCUUAAGGGUCAUAACCUCGACGCCCAAAAACUUGGGCUUCUCCUUGCUCUCCACGAACCCGGCCCCGUCGCCCGACACCGCGGCAUCGGCGCGAGGAAUCCCCCGAUUCCGCCGCUUAAUCCCCGCCCCGCGCGACGAGCCCUCACCGCCGCAGGGGAAGGGCGAUUCCUCGGCCCGUGGGGGCGCCGCGAGGGAGGAAAUCCACAAAGGCCUCGCCUUUCUCGCGAAAUAGGGCGAAUUCCCGAGUGGGUUUUGGGAUGCGGCCAUCGGAGAAGGGAAAGCGCCGAUUUUGACCCCGUUGGUGCGCGGCGGAGCACGGGCUCUUCGAAUUGGGGAUAAACCCAGGGGAUUGGGCUUCAGAUGCGUGGAUAAGAGCCCCUUGGCGAGGAUAACUCCCUCCAUAUCUCCUCGAAUAAGGGUUUCAAUUCCCCUCCAAAAGAGAGAGAGAGAGAGAACACGAGGAGGAAUAGGGGAGAUAUGGAGGGAGAGCUCGUUCUCCUCUUUCUCGAACGAAAAUGGUGGGAGAGGAAGAAGAAGAGGAAGAGGACUCUAUCUCCUCUCCGUAUCUCUCUAUAUAAUAUUAAACUACUGUAAUAAAAGAUAUUUUUUUCUCCGCCAACUGAAAAUUUCGGUAUACGAACGCUUCGUAUGCGGACGUGCGGUAUCAGCCGUUGAAUUUGAGGGGCGUCCAUCAAGGACCGUUGCUGGUCGGAACGCAGGAGCUGGAAAGCAAUUGAAACGGAGAGAGUACACGUGGUCGCCGCCGCGAAGGAAAAUAAAAACCCUAUGCGACACGACUCUCACGAGUAGGGGUGUAAAUAAGCCGAACACGAGCGAGCUAGGCCGGCUUAUGUUCGGCUAACGAGUCGAACACAAGUUGACUUGUUAAAAUAUGAGCCAAAAAAUUUAGCUCGUAUUCGGUUUGUUAAUAAACGAGCCGAACAUGAGUUGGCCCACGAGCUGGUCAACGAAUAAUAAGUUAAAAAUAAUUAGAUUGAAUAUAUAUAAAAAUAAAUUUAUAAAAUAUUAUUCAUUAGAUUUUAAUCUAAUAGUUAAAAUCUUAUAUAUAAAUGAGUCUUUUUAUAAUUAAGCUCGCAUUUAUAUUUUUAUUUUGCUAAAAAUUAAAUAAUAAAAAUAUAUACUAUAUAUAAUUAUUUAUUUAGAUAUAAAAAUAUAAAUUAAAUAAAUUAUAUAAAUAUAAAAUAUAUGUAUUCGAGCUGUUAUUAAGCCAAAUACGAGCGAGCUGAUCCCAACUCGUGUUUGGCUCGUUUAUUAAACGAGUCGAAGAAUUCAGCUCGUGUUCGGCUCGUUUAUCAAACAAGUUGAAAAUUUCAACUUGUGUUCGACUCGUUUACUAAGCAAGCGACUGGAUUGCCACCCCUACUCACUCACGAGGGUACAUCAAAUGUUAAUUUAUUUUAUUUUUUAAUUUAAUUUUUAAAAUUAUUAUAAUUAAAUUGCACAAUUUAAUUUAACUGAUUAGAUAAUAAUACAUUAUUAAAAUGAUAGUAAUAUGACUGUAUACUAGCGUCUAAAAUGAUACAUUACUACCAAAUCUGUAUCUAUGUAACAAAAUAUAUUAUUAUUUUUUGUUUUUAAUUGUGAUCUUUUUAAUUAGAGAAUUAAUAAAUAUCAAAGUAUACAAUUUCUUGGGGAAUGGUUAAAUAAAACUUUAAAACUCUAUUUGGAAGCAUAAAUAUCUUGUUCAAUAUCUAUUUUAAUUUACUCGAAAAUUUUAUACAUUUGGACAAUGAGAAGCGUGAUGGCAUGUUUAGAACGAAAUAUCACAUUCAACUUCAAAUUUUUUUUUAGAAUAAGAUGAAUUAAUUAUCUCAUAGAUAAAAUAUGUUAUUUUAUCAAAUCAUGAAUAUCAAUAUUUUUCAAUAAGUAAAAACUCAAACUUCUUACUCACAAUAAUACUAAAAAAAAUUUAUACCUUGUAAGUUAUUUUUAAAUAAUUUAUUUCGACAUUCAAACAUGAUCUAAUGAUAGAUCUUAUUUGGAUGCAUGAAUAUUUUGUACGGUAUUUUUUUCUUAAUUUAUUUAAAAUAUUUGUACAUUUGAUUGCUAAGAAUUAUAAUCAAAUGAUUAGAAUUUGAUACUAUAUUCAAUGUUCAAAUCUAUCUAUUACUAUAUAUAAAAGUAGAAUCCUUAAUGAACCCUAUGUAAGAAGCUGACACGUGGCUUUCUAUAUGCUUGCCACGUGUCAAACUCAAAUAUGGAUAUUUGGUUACGAAUUAUUAAUAAUCUACGUGUCAAGUUCAAAUUGGUUACGAAUUAUUUAUCUUUAUUUGGAAAUAAAUUAUUACUUAGUUAAUUAUUUAAAAUGAUUGGUUGAAAAUUUCUGAACAUAAAAAUAUUAGUAAAAAAAGAUAGAGGCAUUUUUGGAAAGAGAAAAAAAUUUAAAACUCACAUCACUCAUGUAAUUUUCUUCGCUCUUAAAUAUUGAUGAUUUAAAAUAGAACAUAUUAUUUUUCUACUGUCACUUCUGUAAUUUUCAUUUCGUAAUUUUUUUCCCUUCUGUCACUCAUGUAACUUUUCAUCUUCAUGCAACAAAAUUUUUUUUCUUUAUAUUUUCUUGAAAACCAACAUCUAUAUAUUUUUUAAUCUUAAAAGCGACAGUAGGAACAUAAUAUAUGUGUGCUUACUCUAAUUUGUGUCAAAUAUGAAAGUUUAGUUGAUCUCAAUAUAUACUUAAAUAUUAAUGUCAUUUGUAAUUUUUCAUAUCAAUUUUAGUUAUCAUUUUAUUUCGUACAUCAAUAUGUAAAUGUAAAUUAUUUUGCAUACCAAUUCAUAGAUAAUAGAGCAGGAUUGAAUUUUGCAUUUUAGUUGAAUAUUUACUUUGGUCCAAAUUUUUUUUUCUCUAGCUUGUGUACUUUAAUAUGUACUAUAAUUAAGAUUGAUAGUAUAUUUUUUUAUUUGUUAAAAAAUAUAAAAUUAAUUAGAAAAUCUUUUUGUUAUCAUCACAUAAUAAUUUUUAUUAUUCUAUAUUAUUAUAUUAGCCGUGCAUCGUACGGGUGAAAAUCUAGUUAUUUUUUAAAUAAGAUAGAUUAUCUCAUGAAUGAAAUAUAUUCUUUUAUCAAAUCAUGGAUAGUAGGGCUUGUGAAAGAACAAAAAAAAUUAAUUCCUUACUUAUAAUUAUAUUAAAAAAUUAUACUAAAUAUAUUAUUAUUAGAUAACUUAUUUCGCCCUUCAUACAAAAAGUUUCAAAAUAAAAGAUCCAAUUAGGAACUUCUUGCUAUAAAAUAAUUAUAACAAAUGAUAUCAUAGAAAAACAACCAUAAUCAUCUAACACUUUCCGGCGCUAAGUAGGUUUUGGUUUUCCAAACAUACAAAGAAAUAAACUAAAUUAUGUUAUGUCUGUAAACUUUAUAGGACUAAGGAUGCAAACAGGCCAGAUCUGGAGAUGGGAGGGGUUUUCUACCUCCUGCUUCAUUUUUUGUUCCGAAUUGAGCGGAAUCAGAACAAAUUAAUUUUAAUGAUAAUUUUGGCUUUCAGCUAGAGCUUCAUUAGGAGCUGAUCGGGACGAGAGCGAAUUUUUGACGGAUUGAAACUGAUCAAAAAAAAAUAAAGAAAAGAAAAGAGUACUCUCCUACUUUAUUUUCUUGACGGAUUAGGGUGGUUGCUGAGCAAAUUAUAUUUUUCUAUAUUUUUUAUUCUCACUUACCAUUCUAUUCAGAAUGGGUCAAGACGAGAGCUUUACUAAUUCGAAUACAUUUGCAUUCCAUUCGCAUCCCUAUAUAGGACUACCCUCAAUACCAAAUUAAUGAGAUCUAAAAUAAUGUUAAUGCAACACUAUUUUUAAUAAUAAUACUAUUUACAUAAUAAUUUUUGUUACAAUGUUUUACAAUCUAUAACAGAACAAAAUAAACCCUAAUUCAGCUAAAUUGGAAACUCUCUGUGGGGAAGUGGAGUGAGCAAAUUGUAAAUUGCGUAAUUUCAAUUCACAAUGAGCUGCUCAAAACGCAUGUGUUAGAAUUGGGGGAGUAGGUGGACAACCCACCUUACUUUCAUAAAAUAUGGUCAAAGGUAAAAUUCAAACAAAUCAUUUUCCUCAUGGUCAACAAUAUUAAUAUAGAAAUUAAAUAGAGAAAAGGAUCGCCACGAGUUGAAAAUUUGCAUAAUAACAAAUAUUAAAUAUGGUAAAAGAUAUUACAUUCUCUUAAUAACACGAAUGAUACGUUAGUUUAAGUUGAUGAAAUAUAUCAUGUUAACAUUAACCUAGUUAAUAAUUCCAGUUCUGCGGAUAAUAAUAUAUAUUUUUUUAAUCGAGAUUCUAUGUAGCAUGGAGUUUGAUUUUUUUUUUUUUUUAUUGACACUACACAUGCAAAUUCUAAUUAUAAAAGAGUAUUGGCACAAAUUAAGUUACACAUUUUUAAGAGGAUGUAGUAUAUGUGUACGCUAAAAAUAGCUAUUUUUGAAAGAUUGUAAAAGAUAGAUGGAAAGUAAUGGAGAAAAUUUAAAAAAGGGUAACUUACAUGUUUGGUACCGAUCCUCCAACUAUGAGACGCUGCAUAGUUUGAUUCUUAAAUUUUAAUUUAUUAUACUUUACAACUCUAAUUUUAAGAAUUAUUGCAAUCAUAUUUUAUAACCAAUUUAGUUAACUAAUUAAAUAUUUACGCAUUGCUAAUGUAAAAAUAAUGCGGCAUUUUAAUUAUUGGCGUAUUGUCAUUAACAAUAUUGAUAUAUCACUUUCAAUUCGAGAUAAUCAAUAUUUAGUCGACUAAAUUGGGUUAUAGAACUUGAUUUUAAACAAUUCUAAAUAUUUGAGCAAGAAAUUUAAAUAAGUUAAAAUUGAAGUACUAAAGUGUCGCAUGCCUAUAGUUUAAAAACCAAACAUACAAUUUAUCCUAAAAACUAAUAGAUGUUUUUAUUUUAGAGAAAAUGAAGGUACCUUUUUUACAUUUUUCUCGUAUACAUAUUGAAUUUUUGGCAUUGUCUACUUCUUUCUGUAAGACCCAUUUGGCCAGUCAAUAUUAGACUUGUCGGCCCAAAUAUGUGAGGGGGCCUUUUUUUCUUUUUUUUUUUUUUCCUUGCAGUGCAUGCAUGAGAGAGAGAGAGAAAGAGAGAGAGAGAGAGAGAGAGGAAAAAAAAAAAAAGACGUGAACUUAGCAGGAGAUAUGAAAUAAUUAUGUUUCAAAUUUAGAAUCUUGAAUAUCAACACAAUCAAGUUCUUUAUCACAUGUCGUAGGAACGUUUGGUUCAAUUUAUAUAAAUUUUCAUUUGCAACACAAGUUCACUAACAUUUUUUUUUUCUUAUUCUGUCACUUUUUAAUAUAAAUUUUCUUAUAUUAUUUCUUUGAUCUGAUCUCAUCAAAAAUUUCCAUUUGAAAGCUAGCUCUCACCUUGGAAUUAUCAAGUCUCAAAUUGUAGUACUUAAUUAUAAAUAUACUAAUUAGGUGCAUGGUGGAGUGAUAACUCAACAACCCACUCCACAUAUAUCGUUAAUGAAUACCAAUCUGGGCUUGUAGAUCAAAACACAAAAGGGAUCAAAAUUAAUAAGAGUUCCAAUUUUAGCCCAACUCUCUCUCUCUCUCUCUCUCUCUCUCUCUCUCUCUCUCUCUCUCUUUAAUGAAGGGUGUAGUCGCAAUUAACGUGAUAUUAGGAGCAUUGAACUACGUUUCUUAUGACCCGCAACUUUAAGUGAGCCACGCAACGAGAAAAUGUUCGGACACACACGUGAUCAAUUAAUUAAAACAUUAAGAUAGAAUAAAAUUAUUUAAAAAAGAAAAUAAGAAAAAUUUGAUCUAUAUAAGCUAGAUAGAGUCAACAGCACGUUGCAUCGUCACACUUACCACGACAUAUAUUACAAUAUCAAAUUCUCAACACACGUCAACGUUUCAACGUUAGUAAUAUCCUCACGUAGAGCUAGUCACGUACCAUGAAACCCCCCCGCUAAAAUGCUUAUAUUACCCAAAAACAAGCCCAAUCACCACCCGCCACGUGGCACUUAUUGCUCGUUCGUCGUUCCCUUCAUGCAGCUGGAGCGCNAAAAAAGUAUAGAAGCAUUACUCUUAAUUUUAAUGAUAAUUUUGGCUUUUAGUUAGAGCUUCAUUAGGAGCUGAUCGGGAUAAGAGCGAAUUUCUGACGGAUUGAAACUGAUAAAAGAAAAAAAGAAAAGAAAAGAGUACUCUCCUACUUUAUUUGCUUGACGGAUUAGGGUGGUUGCUGAGCGAAUUAAAUUUUUCUAUAUUUUUUAUUCUUACUUACCAUUCUAUUCAGAAUGGGUCAAGACGAGAGCUUUACUAAUUCGAAUCCAUUUGCAUCCCUAUAUAGGACUACCCUCAAUACCAAAUGAGAUCUAAAAUAAUGUUAAUGCAACACUAUUUUUAAGAAUAAUACUAUUUACAUAAUAAUUUUUGUUACAAUGUUUUACAAUCUAUAACAGAACAAAAUAAACCCAAAUUAAUUCAGCUAAAUUGGAAACUCUCUGUGGGGAAGUGGAGUGAGCAAAUUGUAAAUUGCGUAAUUUCAAUUCACAAUGAGCUGCUCAAAACGCAUGUGUUAGAAUUGGGGGAGUAGGUGGACAACCCACCUUACUUUCAUAAAAUAUUUUCAAAGGUAAAAUUCAAACAAAUCAUUUUCCUCAUGGUCAACAAUAUUAAUAUAGAAAUUAAAUAGAGAAAAAGGAUCACCACGAGAGUUGAAAAUUUGCAUAAUAACAAAUAUUAAAUAUGGUAAAAGAUAUUACAUUCUCUUAAUAACACGAAUGAUACGUUAGUUUAAGUUGAUGAAACAUAUCAUGUUAACAUUGCGGAUAAUAAUAUAUAUUUUUUAAUCGAGAUUCUAUGUAGCAUGGAGUUUGAUUUUUUUUUUUUUUUAUUGACACUACACAUGCAAAUUCUAAUUAUAAAAGAGUAUUGGCACAAAUUAAGUUACACAUUUUUAAGAGGAUGUAGUAUAUAUAUGUACGCGAAAAAUAGCUAUUUUUGAGAGAUUAUAAAAGAUAGAUGGAAAGUAAUGGAGAAAAUUUAAAAAAGGGUAACCUACAUGUUUGGUGCCGGUCCUCCAACUAUGAGACACUGCAUAUAGUUUGUUCUUAAAUUUUAAUUUAUUAUACUUUAUAACUCUAAUUUGAAGAAUUAUUGCAAUCAUAUUUUCUAAGCCAAUUUAGUUGACUAAAUAUUUACGCAUUGCUAAUAUAAAAAUAAUGCGGUAUGUUAAUUAUUGGCACCUCGUCAUUCACAAUAUUGAUCUAUCACUUUCAAUUAGCGAUAAUCAAUAUUUAGUCAACUAAAUUGGGUUAUAGAACUUGAUUUUAAAUAAUUCUAAAUAUUUGAGUAAGAAAUUAAAAUAAGUUAAAAUUGAAGUACUAAAGUGUUGCAUGUCUUAUAGUUUAAAAUCGAAAAAGGUGACCUAUUUUUGCAAAAGUGCAAAACUAGUGAAUUUUUUACGCAAAUUGACCUAAAAACUAAUAGAUAUUUUUAUUUUAGAGAAAAUGAAGGUACCUGUUUUACAUUUUUCUCGUACAUAUAUAUUGAAUUUUUGGUAUUGUCUACUUCUCUAAGACCCAUUUGGUGAGUCAAUAUUAGACUUGUCGGCCCAAAUAUGUGAGGGACCCUUUUUUCUUUUUUUAUUUUUUUUUUUCCCCCUUGCAGUACACGCAUGAGUGAGAGGGAGAGAUGAAAAAAAAAAAGAAGAAAAGACAACGUAAAUUUUGCCGGAGAUGUGAAAUAAUUAUAUUUCAAAUUUAGGAUCUCGAAUAUCAAUACAAUCGAGUUCUUUAUCACAUGCAGUAGGAAUGUUUGGUUCAAUUUAUAUAAAUUUUCAUCAGCAACACAAGUUUGAUCGCUAACAAUUUUUUUUUUCUUAUUCUGUCACUUUUUAAUAUAAAUUUUAUUAUAUUAUUCUUUGAUCUGAUCUCAUCAAAAUUUCCAUUUAUCAAGUCUCAAAUUGUAGUACUUAAUUAUAAAUAUACUAAAGGUGCAUGGUAGAGUGAUAACUCAACCCACUCCACAUAUGUCGUUUAAUGAAUACCAAUCUGGGCUUGUACAUCCAAAACACAAAAGGGAUCAAAUUAAUAAGAGUUCCAAUUCUCUCUCUCUCUCUCUCUCUCUCUCUCUCUCUCUCUCGUUAAUGNCCACCCGCCACGUGGCACUUAUUGCUCGUUCGUCGUUCCCUUCAUGCAGCUGGAGCGCAGUCGUAGUCUCCGUCGUCGUCGUCGUCCCCGUCGCCACGAACCAUCUCCAAACGCUCCUCCACGUGCUCCUCACGUGCGCGCCCCAUUUCCUUCUCCGCGGAGGGGGAGCUCGUCCUCAUCGGGGCCAUUGCUGCGACGCUUAACGCGGAGAGAGGUGGGUGGAAAAGGAGUGGAGAUCGAUCCUUUCCCUUUUCUUUUGUUGCUGUGGGUUUGAACGGUGGGGGGUGGGGCGUUUAUAUAGGGGAGGGACAGUGUGGAGGCCUCGUUGCGGCGUGGGGACGGGGCGUGCGGGGCGUGCGGGGUGAGGCGCCGGGGGUGUGCAUGGCGCGACGCGGAGGACUCGUGGCACGCUUCCAGGGCCGACACGUGUGGGCCAGUGUGUACACUCAGCAAAGCGAAAGAGGAGAGGGGCCGGGGUUCAUGAUGUUUCAGGGUGGCUCAUUGGAAAGGCGGUGAGGAGAGAGAUGUUGUUCCAGGGCAUCUUAUUGGAAAGUUGGUGAUGAGAGAGAGAGAGAUUUUGUAAGGAUGAGAGUGAGAGAAAAGGUAGUAAGAUUCCCACAGAGGGAAAAUGAUUAAUGACAGAGAAAAUAUACAAAGAUAUAUAUCUUCAGUUAUUAUUAUUUAGUUGUCCGUAUCGCUUGUGACCGGGUCAACUUUUUCGUCUUCGAAUUUUUUGCGCAAGUGUCGCACCACCGUCAAAUCAGCCAUUCCAAAUUCUUAGCAAGGACACAUCUUCAAACUUACCAGCGAAAUACUGACUUAAGUAUUUUGACCAAACAUACUACUCCGCGAGCCUUACUGUUUUAUUAUUGGGCGUCUACCUUAUGUUGAAUUCUUCGUUGAACUUUAUGAGUUUCCAAUAAACACUUCACGAGUUCCCAAUGAAACAACCCCACUAUUGAGGUUGGUCACCAGGCCAAGUAUCUCGCCAUCCAAACUCUUCUCAAGAGUGUUAUAUAGUCGAAUGCCUCGUUGCUCUCAAAACUAGCCACAAGGGCAUCAUAAAUUCUUCCCAACUUAGUCCUAUUCAAAUAUAACCAAGCAUCUCACCCCCACACGUCGAAUAAGUACAUGCAACUCCUACUCUGAUACCAUAUUAAAUUAUAUGAAACAACCACCUUUCUCUUAAAAUUUAAGUUGUCAAACACCGUUACUUCUAAUUUAUAUAUUCAAUAAUUUGGUUAGCUCAAUCAGCAGAGUUAGUAAGACAUUUUUGUGCAUCUCUUUUAUCUUUUGUAGGCCCAACCUUGGUUGUGCUCACGAAAAUAGGCCCAAACUCGGCGUCUAGGCUCAUAAAAACACUUUCACAUCUCGGCCCAACCCAAUAUGAAUCUCUAGAGCAGGAUAAACUCAAAAUGGCUUUUAAAAAAAUAGUGCAUCUAAAAAGUUCUAACUUUAGUAAUUAACUUGUAAUACUAGUAUAGUAAUCUUCGUGAUAUGGCGGAUAGAUAAUUAAAAAAAUAAAAAAAUCAAUAAAAAUAAAAAAAAAACGGCGAUGAAAAAAACGAUGAUAAGAAAUGGGAUUUAUCUUAUUGAUAAAUGAAGAUAACAGUCGAAGGAAAAGAAAGAUGAAGGACUUGAGCUGGUUUGGAAUAGAGUCCACAUUCAACAGAAGGAAAAUUUGCCAUAUGGCAAUUUUAGAAAAAAUAAUAUAUAUAUAUAUAUAUAUAGUGUAGAGCGAAAAAUCGGAAGCACCAACUACUUUAUGCUUACGAUAGCAUAGUAACUAUAUAUAUCUAUACUAUAUAUAAAAGCACGUAUAUUCAAAUUUGGAUCUGUCGACAGACCCAUUUUUCGGCUGAAAAAUUAGCCCUCAUUUUUCUCUUUCCGUACGAAAAAUUUUAAACAUAAGAAUAAAAAUAGAAAUAGAAACCGCAAUGAAUAAGUAAGUUCUCUACAAUAGAUUACUGAUGUGAAAAUCCUAAAAAAUAAAUUUUCUUAUUUAAUUUCAAAAAUAAGUUUUCUAUGACAGAUUGCGGGUGUGAAAAUUCUAUAAAAGAUAUUUUCCUAUUUUAUUUUAAAAUAUCUUUUUUAGAUAUUAUCUAUUUAAUUUCAAAAUAUAUAUAUUUUAUAAGAUAACGGAUUUUAUUUUUCUAUUUAAUUUUAAAAAUUUAUUUCCUAACAGAUUUUAUUUUUCUAUUUAAUUUCAAAAGUAAUUUUUGCAUUAGAGAUUAUUGUUAAUUAUUUAUCAUUUAAAGUAUAUCUUUCUUAAUAGCGUGAUUUAUUAUUUUAAAUUUUUUAGAUACAUAUUUGNUAAUUAACUUGUAAUACUAGUAUAGUAAUCUUCGUGAUAUGGCGGAUAGAUAAUUAAAAAAUAAAAAAAUCUAUAAAAAUAAAAAAAAAUGGUGAUGAAAAAAACGAUGAUAAGAAAUGGGAUUUAUCUUACUGAUAAAUGAAAAUAACAGUCGAAGGAAGAGAAAGAUGAAGGACUUGAGCUGGUUCGGAAUAGAGUCCACAUUCAACAGAAGGAAAAAUUGCCACAUAGCAAUUUGAGGAAAAAUAUAAUAUAUAUAUAUAUAGAUAGUGUAGAGCUACUAUGCUAACUAUGCUAUCAGAAACAUAAAGUAGUUGGUGCUUCUGAUUUUUUAGCUCUUUGAUCAAAGAUUCUGCGGUUGGGAUGCUAGUGGUCCCUUUAGGAUUGAGUGGUCCCCUAGUGUUGAGUGGUCUCCAUUGGUUAAUAAUAUUAAUCCAAUGAUUAGAAAUGAUCAAUGGAGAUGAUCUAAGGGCUAAAAAAUCGGAAGCACCAACUACUUUAUGCUUACAAUAGCAUAGUAACUACAUAUAUAUAUAGAAUUAGGCUGGAAUACUAUUGAUAGCAAAAUGAUCUUUUUAUUAUCAAGUUUUUAAUCUUUGAAUGAGAAAUUGUAGGGUUAGGAUGAUAUUAGUCAGUUAGAGUUGAGUGGUCCCCCUAGGGUUGAUUGGUCUCUACUGGUUUAUAGUAUUUAAUCCAAUGAUUAGAAAUGAUGAAAAAAGUUGAUCCAAAGGCUAAAAACUUGAUAGCAAAAAUGACGUUUUGCUAUCAAUAGUAUUCUAGCUCAACUCUAUAUAUAUAUAUAUAUAUAUAGAGUGAGGCUACUAUACUAUCGGAAGCACGGAGCCUUCCGUGCUUCCAGCUCGUUUUCGAUGUUGCGACUUUCGAAUCGUCGAUCGGCUCCGUUAAACUUGAUCUAGAGUAUUUGAAGUACGUAGAAAAUAAAGUUUAUGAUUUUACGAUAUCAUUUGCCUAGUGAUCGAAUGGGCUCAAAAUCAACAAAUUUCAAUGGCCGUAGUGAGCUGUUUGUAAGUUUAACGGUGUAGAAAUAUCCAAAUCAUGUAAAAUUUUGAUGGAAAAUUUUUUAUACUAUAUAAAACAAGAUCAAUAUAUUUGAUUUAAAAUUUUAAUGUCAUAUUAUUACAUUUUGUAAGAUUUUUAUUUUCAGCCGUUGAUUUUGAGCCCCUUUGUUCACUAAGCGAAUGAUAUCGUAAAAUUAUAAAAUUUAUUUUCUAGGUACUUCAAAUACUCUAGAUCAAGUUUAACGGAGUCGAUCGACGAUUCGAAAGUCGCAACAUCGAAAACGAGCUGGAAGCACGGAAGGCUCCGUGCUUCCGAUAGCAUAGUAGCCUCACUCUCUCUCUCUCUCUCUCUAUAUAUAUAUAAUGAGAAGAGCUAGGCUGCUAUACUAUCGGUAGCAUGGACGUUUUCGUGCUACCAAGUUGUUUUCAAUUAUGCCGCUUCCAAAUCGACGAUCGGCCCCGUUCAACUUGAUCUACACUAGUGAAAGUAUUUGAAAACUAAAUUUCAUAAUUUUUCGGUAUUAUUUACCUAUCAAACGAGUAGUUUGAAAAUAAAAAUCUCAUAAAAAAUAAUGAUAGAAGACUUGAAUUUAAGAUUAGAGGUACUGAUCUUACUUUAAAUAGUAAAAAGAAUUUUCUAUAAAAAUUUCAUCUGAUUUGAAUUGUUUUACACUAUUAAAUUUACAAAUGCAUCACAUCUAUCAUUAAAAUUAUCAAUUUUGAGACAUUUUGAUCACUAGCCAAAUGAUGUUGAAAAAUUCUGAAAUUUAGUUUCUAAAUACUUUCAAUAGUGUAGAUCAAGUCUAAUGGACCAGAUCGUCGAUUUGAAAACCGUAUCAUCGAAAAUAACUUGAUAAUACGGAAGCCUCCGUACUACCGAUAGUAUAGCAGCCCAACUCCAAUGAGAAAUGCCACCAACCAGCAAAUCGCAGGAAUAUUCACCACUGCUCUUUGUCUUGGUCGGUCCAGUCCUUUUGAUCAAUCAUUAUCUAUCCACUGCAGAAGGGAGCGCUUGGCUCGAGGCAGAAUCAUGCUUCACCAGCUUCAUGCAAUUGAUCAGAUUAAUUUAUUAAAUCUAAUCAAAUCGAGUCAAUAUAUAGUGUCUCUCUUAAUUACUAAUAGAAACAGUUUUAUCAAAGACUGUAACCAACAAGAUCGAUACGAUAAAAAAUAGUUUAAAAANUAUAUAUAUAUAUAUAUAUAUAUAUAUAUAUAAAAUGAGAAGAGCUAGGCUGCUAUACUAUCGGUAGCACGGACGCCUUCGUGCUACCAAGUUAUUUUCAAUUAUACCGCUUCCAAAUCGACGAUCGGCUCCGUUAAACUUGAUCUACACUAUUGAAAGUAUUUGAAAACUAAAUUUCAUAAUUUUUCGGUAUCAUUUACCUAUCAAACGAGUAAUCUGAAAAUAAAAAUUUCAUAAAAAAUAAUGAUAGAAGACUUGAAUUUAAGAUUAGAGAUACUGAUCCUACUCUAAAUAGUAAAAAGAAUUUUCUAUAAAAAUUUCAUCUGAUUUGAAUUGUUUUACACCAUUAAAUUUACAAAUGCAUCACAUCUAUCAUUAAAAUUGUCAAUUUUGAGACAUUUUGAUCACUAGCCAAAUGAUGUCGAAAAAUUCUGAAAUUUAGUUUCUAAAUACUUUCAAUAGUGUAGAUCAAGUCUAAUGGAGCCGAUUGUCGAUUUGAAAACUGCUUCAUCGAAAAUAACUUGAUAACAUGGAAGUCUCCGUACUACCGAUAGUAUAGCAGCCCGACUCCAAUGAGAAAAUGCCACCAACCAGCAAAUCGCAGGAAUAUUCACCACUGCUCUUUGUCUUGGUCGGUCCAGUCCUUUUGAUCAAUCAUUAUCUAUCCACUGCAAGUAGGGAGCGCUUGGCUCGAGGCAGAAUCAUGCUUCACCAGCUUCAUGCAAUUGAUCAGAUUAAUUUAUUAAAUCUAAUCAAAUCGAGUCAAUAUAUAGUGUCUCUCUUAAUUACUAAUAAAAACAGUUUUAUCAAAGACUGUAAACAACAAGAUCGAUAUGAUAAAAAAUAGUUUAGAAAAAUAAAAAAAUUAAUUAUAUUAUUUUGACUGUAAGUGAAUAAUAGAACAAAAAUUAUCUAAACGUGUAUAUUAUUAAGUGCUUAUGAGAGAAUUUGCAAUGGCUUUAAUAUUAUAUAUUAUAAAAAAAAGGCAUAAUUGAAAUAAUAAAAUAAUAUUUUGCUUUAAAAGGUAAUGACAAUUAGAUAACGUAAAGUUUUGUAUAAACUAUAUUUUUGGCCCUUAAAUUAUGGAUCACGUGACACCUCAGUCUUCAAACUUCAAUUCAUUAUAAUUUUUGAUUUUUGAUUUGAACUUUCUAAAUUAUUACAAUUAAGUUCCAUGACCCAUUUUUUUGAUUAAAUAUUGAUGAAUUACUAGUGUAAAUGUAAGAUCUUAAUUAUUACUGUAUCAUCAAUUAUAAUGUUGCUAUAUUAUUUCUAUACUAGUAAUUUAUCAAUAUUUAGUUAAAAAAUUAGAUUGCGGGAUUUCAUUGCAACAAUUCAGAAAGUUUUAGCCAGAAAUUCCAAUAAAUUAUAAUUUGAGGAAUAAAAUAUCGUCGAAGCCCGUAGUUUCGAGGACCAAAAAUAAACGAGUUGGCUACUAUACUUUUAUGAAUAUAGACCCUUUUAUACUCUUAAGUUUUCGGCCGUUAAAUUUAUCCUUUUGACAAUUUUCACAUGUUAGAUCAUACUAUUCAACUAACUACCCACUCAAUUUUAGAAGACUACUAUCAUUCUAACCGGGAUCACUAUUAUCCUAACUGCACAUCUCUUCAUCUAACGGCCGAAAAUUUAUGAGUACAAAGAGAUCUGUGCUCAUAAUAGUAUAGCAGCUCUAGCCUAUGUGAACUAAAAUUAGAGCGAAUAAAACACACAAUACAAUUAAAAAUUCACACUCGUGUUCAAACUUUAAAAUAUACCUAUAUUAUAUUCAAUAAAACUUAAUAUUUCAAUAAAGAGACAUGUAAUUUUAACAUAAAAUUUAUAGUAAAAUAAACGAAGAAUAAGAUAAAAAAGUAUUUUAUCUCGCUGCAAUAUAUAUUAACAUCUCUUUUAUUUUUAAGGGGAGAAGACGGUCGAAUACAAUCAAAAUUUUCAAAAAUCGUAUUCGCAUUUACUUUUUUUUUUAUUUUUCUAAAUAUGAAUUUAAAUAUAAAUAUAUAUCGAAUACUAAAUUCUGACAUUCACAUUCUAUCAAAUUCGAUGGGAGUUUACCUUAACCACUUUGAGUCCUACCUAAAAGGCAAAAUAUGAAGUGACCUACCAAGGAAGGGAGAAAGAGAGGUCGAACCUAACUGGGGCACCAACAUGGCAGAUCUUUCACCAACUAUUUGUUCCCUUUGUCACUGUUGCACACUUGUACUCUUUCCAAAUUUAUGCAAUCCUACUCAUCUCUUCCUACUUUUUUUUAAAAAAUAAAAAACAAUUCUCAAAUGUUGUAAGAUCAAGUAUCAAACUAGGAGAAAUGGGAGAGGAAACAAAAAGGGCAAAAAAAAAAGGAAAAGAGAGAUGGAGUUUCCCUCACUUGGGAUUUUUUUUUGGUCUUUUAAUUUGGCGGCGGUAUUCAUUAGAAUGAUUUUUUAAAAAUUUACAGCAAUUUUUUAUGGCCUAAAUGUUAUUUGGUCAUAAACUCAUAAUAAAAUUGUUAUUAAUAUUAAGUAGUAUUUUUUUUUAAUUGAAAAAUGCAAGUGGUGCAGAUGAUCUGGUCUGCUCUUAGGAUGCAUAAAGAUAUUGGACCAGAUCAAACAGUGUCGGAAAAAAAAAAAAAUUGAAUGACACGAUUCUAAUGAGUGUGUUUGGUAAAAUGGUUUUGCACUCAAUGUUAUUUGAUUAAUAUGAAAACACACUAGGAUCGAUUUUAAUUUUCUCCCUCUUUGAAAUAUAUAUAUAUAUAUAUAAUCAUAGUUUUGUAAUAUAUAAUUGAAUAAUUCCAAAUUUAUUUGGUGGCAAAUUUAAAUAAUUACUAUUAAAUCUUCUGUUUUUCUUGGCCAAGAUGAAACCCAUCACUAACAGGCCACACAUUUAUAGAAAAAUAAAAUACCACUAAAAAUCAAGAAUGCUUUCAAUAGUCAAAAUUAACUACUACCCCAAAAGUUUUGUAUAUUUAUCGAAAAGAAGUUGCCACAAAAGUCAACUACACUUAUUAAUGGCUAAAAUUUAAAUAUCCUCCAUAAAAACUUAAUAAGUAUAUAUUAAGCCCGUUUUAAAACCUUACUGAUAAUUGAUGCACAUAAAAUUUACACUUGAGUAUGGCAGUAGCACCAUAUAUAAUAUCACCACUAGUAGUCUAAAUAUUUACGGAGAAACAAAAUAUCGCUAAAUUUAAGACCACUUUUAGUGAAAUUAAUUAAAGAUCACACUACAAUAGAAUUAGCUUAUAGGGACACAUGUUUGGAAUACUUUUGUGUAAGUGUUCUAUUUAUGCCGAAACUUAAAAAAAAAAUCUACUAAUGCCUAAAUAUAAAGCCUAAUCUAACGAAAAAUAAAAAAUUAUCUACUCAACUCACCCCACCCAGUCCAUUCGGUCCGAUUACAAAUAGAAAAGAAAAAAAAAAAGAAAUAUCGAUUACCAUCUCCUCUUCUCCUCUCACUUAAUUUACUGAAAUCCUAGACGAAAAGCCCUUCCCUCUCCUCCUCCUCCGCCACCGCAACCAAUGAGGUAGAGUUCCGGCAGUUGGUAAAUACUUAAAUAAGUGUUGAUAAAUUGGUAGCACUUUUUUUAGAUUAUAGCGACACUCUUUAACUAUCAUUAUAUACCUAGCGACCCCACAGAUAGCAACACCUUUUAAAAAUGUCGGUAAUUUAGCCAGCAACACUUUUUUUUACUUAUGCCUAUAUUUAAAAGUGCCGCUAUAGAGCGUUUUUGUUGUACUGUCACUAUCGAAAAAUAGGCCGCCACAAAUAUCAACAACGUACUUUGAGGCAAUCUCUGAGCUGUCACAAAUAAUUCUCCACAAAAGAUAAAUUUUCUUGUAGUGACGUCUCUUCAACAACUUUAAUCCUGAAUGAUGUUUGCAAUGUAUUUUACAUCAAAAUCUAUAUAUGUUAUUGACAAUGACUGAAUAAAUUAGUGAAAAAAGUUCACCUAUCCUAAUUUUCUUGGCAUUCACAGAUGACAAUUAAAGACAUGACUUAGAUUGCUUGUACUGAUAAUUUAGAUUCAGAUCCUGUGUUUGAUCCUGCUCUGGAUGUUGCGGUGACUUUGGCAUGUUGCAGUGCCUGUUUAGCAAGUCUGGGUCACAGAAUCAAUCCUUUAGACAUUGUAAGCAUGUUGUGUAUGUCCAUUUCAAAGAGUCGAUGUUACUAGUAAGCUAGUUGGGCCUUUAGAUACCAUUAUCGUUGGGGUCAACUGACUGUCCAAUGCUAUUUGAUGAAGUGUUAUUAUUAGAACGAAAACAUUGGUAGUUUCCUUGCCAAAAUUUUUCUCACUGGCUUUUCCCUAUACCAAAAUCAAAAUUUCCAAAUUUUCAGGCUUUUGAAGCACAUAUCUAUUUGCUUCUUAUGGACAUAAUAAAUUUUUAAAAUUUUUGGUUUACCAAAUAGUUUAUUAGAGUUUCAUGUUUAGUGAAAAUAUGACAAUAUAUAGGAGAAACUUUUCACAUUCCAAUAAUUAAUCUCACGUUGAUAAAUCGUCACUUCCUGAAUUUAGAUAGAUUGGAAUUACCAUGUGGUAACAUUUUUAUUACAAAUGAAGCAAAAGAAAAGAAAAAUAAAUAAAUAAAUAAAUAAAGAUGCCAUUUGAUGCCUCCUAGAUUACUGUUCAUAGCCCUGUACCUAGCUAAGUUGGUAUUAAAAAAAGGGAUUUACUGAGAAUAUAUAGGAGGCUUUGCAAUUAUUUGUACUUGAAGAGCAUGUGCUAUGAUUCUUCCAAAUUCCAACAACAUGUGACAAUAUAGGUACAUGCAAAUGGCCACACUAGUAGCUAGGAAAAGACCAAAUAAACAAAAAAAAAAACCAUAUAUAUAUAAGAAAGGCCAUAUAAUAUUGGUUAAUUAUUUUUCUUAUCAUACAUUUAUUUAGAUCGGAAAGACAAUGUUUGGUUAGAAAAUAGCACAAGAAAAUUGAUAAUUAUUACUGUUAUUUCACCAAACACGCUGAGAAUUGGUGAAAUUCUAAUCUAAAAUUAGAUUGCUAAUAAGAUAAAUGCAUUAUUUCAACUAUUAUGUUACCGUACUCCGUCGAAGAAGCUUGGAUGAGUUUGUUGAACUCCGCUACUUUACAGGGUGCAAAAAUGGACCCGACAUGCAAUUAAUGAACACAACAUAAAGUACAACAUUUAGGAGUAUUAAUUAUAAAGUGCAUUCAUUGAUUAUAGGUCUAAUUGGGAACAAUAUUCAUGCCAACCCCAUGUUGAAUGAUCAUGGCCCUACAAUAUCUACAUCCUACGAAGAGAUGUUUCAGCUUUUUUGACUAGUGCAGAUUUUCUAGUUUAGAGUUUUUAGGACCUCUAUCCUUCAAUUUCUCAGUUGUCACUACCAACCUUUCUUAUAUAAGACCUUUUCUCAUUUGUUUGGCUUGGUGAGCUACCAAAUAAAAGAGAGGGAGCAAUGGGAAUCUAAAAUUAGUAUAAAAGAAUCAUAUAAGGCCCCAAUAAUUUGUCCAAAAAUGAAAAAGUCAAGAUAUUAUAAGUCUCCAAUCUACAAACUACCUGUAUGAGCUAUGAUACAUGUAUGGUGUAUAUCUUACACUUUCUCAUCCAAAGAUCAAAAAUAACUCUUUGUCUGGUCUUUUUUGUUUUCAAUACAAAAUAUUUAUUAAAUUUUGUGAAUCAUAGGACGGAAAGUAUAAGAUCUACAGCCAUUUUGGGAUGUAUAAAUAGAAUUUCACUUCGUAGAUAUAUUUGUCUACUCUUGGAAGGAGAAAUAGCACAUGCAAAAUUAGCGAAAUUUAGUAUACAAGCCAAUAUUCUAGAAACUAGAAGUAGUUGAAUAAUGUUGAAACAGAAGAAACCGAUGCAUUAAUUUUCUUAGCUCUCCUUGAGUUUGAAUUGUUCAUCCAUAUUUACAAUUUGUUUAGUAUAUAGUAUUAUCAUGUGGACUGUUGUCUAAAUAGUUUUUUUUUUUUUUUUUUUUUUUUUUUUGAGAGAGAGAGAGAGAGAGAGAGAGAGAGAGGGAGGGAGAAAGGUAUUAUGUUAUUUGCUUAGUUUAUUUUUUUUAAAAAACUGAACUUUGCUAAAGAUAUAAAACAACUAGGUUUCGUAUUUGGGACCUUAAGUACCAACUAGCAAAUCCUUUGACACCUGCAGUAGGGAUGAUUCGUUGCUGUCUAAAUAGUUCUUUCUGAAAAUUUAUUAUAUUAAAAUUCUUUCAUCAUAUUUUUAGUAUAGCAUAAAUAGUAAAUUCAUUUAAAAAAAAAUAAAAAUCAUAAAAUAUUACUCUACAGCUGCAACAGAUCCAAAUAGACAAGUUCAUAGUUGGAUACCUACAAGGUAUGACCUGUUUCCACAUGGCAGAACCAGCUUUUCCUGAUCAAGAAGAGAAUUUGGUGAACCCAAAUUGGGCCUCAUUAUAUAUUAGUCCUAGCCUAUAAAUGAUCUUAACAGUGAGAUUGAACCCCACAGAACUUGUCCUUUUUCUCCUCCCCUCCCCAACCAAUUUGGCUACUUGUGAGUGCAAAUUUUAUUGAUAAGAUUCGGAAUAGAGAUAGUACAAACAAAAAGCUACAUGAAAGGUCCAAAUUUGUGGUUUCCCCACUUGUAAUUUGAUUUUGGAUUGACCAUGCAGAGGAAAGAUUCCAACUGUUUCCACAGUAUUUUUUUGGGAUAAAUUACACUUUUGUUCUCAAACUUUGAGACGCAUGACUAUUUAUUCCUCAAACUUUAAUUAUUUUUAAUUUUUUUACUUGAAUUUUCUAUAUUGUUACAAUCAAGUUUCACAACCUAUUUUUUUUUGGUCUAAAUAUUGACCAAUCAUUGAUAUAAAAGUGACAUAGCAAUGCAAUUAGUUAGAAUAAUUUAAAAUUGUUGAACAUAAGAUAUUAAAAAAAAUUAGUUUUCGGUAGUUCAAGUAUUUAAAAACGAAUAGUUGUUUCAUAUUGUAUCGUUGCAAAAGGUGGUGUAUUAAGUUUAAAUUCUACUAUCCUUAUAGUUUCAUUUAAUUUUCUUUUGUUUAGUUCAAGUCGAUGUCAAAAAUAAAAACAGAAAGUGUACUGAAUAUAAAAUAAUUCAAAAUCAUUCUCUUGCAAGUUAAGCACAGUCGUUUUGUGAGUGAGAUUGUGUUUAAGUACUUAUGAAUUAUUGGAUUGAAUAGACAACAUUUGUGUUAUAAUUUUUUUUUUGUUUUCUUUUAGAAUUUUUGUGUCUUGUUCAUGUCAUGUUCACUCUCUAGUCAUGUAUGGGAUUUUUAUGCUAGUAUAUUUAGCAUUUAAGAAGUAUAGAAAGGACUUGGUACUCACUACCAAAGUAGGCAAAAGAGGCAUGAGUACUUUUUCUUUCUUUCUUUUUUGGGUUUUUUUUUUUGGAAAACUCAAUCUAAAUUUUUUUUUUUAUCUACAAAGAAAAAGCUGGGACUGAUCAAUAACAAUGAUCAAAUACCUUAUUCCAAAUAAAGCUUACUCCAACCAAAACCACUCCCUUAGUCUAAAACGAAUUAACCUUUUUAUCUCCUUUUUUGAAGUGUGUAACACUUGUUAAAUAGAUUCCUUUGCUUUUUUUGUCCUCCUCAUUUUCUUUUCAAGUGGAAAAGGAUUUUUUUUUUUCUCUCUCUCUCUAUUUAACUAUAUCCUUGCACACACACACACACACACACACACACACACACACACACACACACACACAAGUGGAAGGGGAUUUAUUCUCCACUAUAUAUUAAGAAAGAUCACGAAAAGUAAGUAAUUUGGCAUGCAAUUACAAGAUCGAUAGCUUGUAUCUUCAAGGAAAUUAACAAAUAAAAAAGUUAUUAAGAACGACCAAAACAAUUCCAUACCUAUAUACGAUGAUUGAAACCAAAAUAUAAGCAACAAAAACAUAGAAUUAUUUGCAUUCAACUUGGUCUAAUGUUUUUUUUUUUUUUUCUAGAGUAAUCAUCGAUCAUGGGAGAAAAAAAAUUAAUUAGCUUAACCGCAUGGGACAAAUUUUCAAAAGCUUGGGUAUUUGAUGUGUAUAUGCUGCAUUAGGCAUAAUUUGCGGAGUUAUUUCUCUGAACUUGUGGAAAAAAAAUUUGUGAAUUUUCAGCGCAUUUAUAAUUGUCUGAAUUUAUAAUAAUUAAUCAAUCAAAUUUUUUAUUUAUCUAUAUUAUUUAUUAUCAAAUGAACUAUUCAUUAUGAUUUAAUUUUGCUUAAUCUGAAAGUGGAUGACAGAUAAAUAGAAUGGCUAAUUAUGUAAGAACUUUAACAUUAACUAGUGAAUUACCCGCUCGAUGCUGCGGAUAUAAAAUUAUUUUUAUAAUAAAUUUUAUUUUUUUAAUAUUUUUAUAUAGUUUUAUAAGUCUAAUUAUUAAUUAAACAAAAAUUACAUAAAAAUAAUUUAGUAGUUAAAUCUAUUUAAAUAAAAGUCAUUAAAAUUGAUAUNAAAGAAAAACAAAUUAUUUAAGAGUUGUUUUUGCGAUCACCACGUACUAAUAAUAGAUCAAUAUAUUGCAAUUAUUUAGUGACAUGCUCAAAUAAAAUUAAGAUUUCUAGUUUGCAUUGCCUAAGAUCCAACUAUUACACCUAAAAAAAAAGAAAAUUAGCUUGUGCACAUUGUAAUCCAAAAAAAAAAAGCACAUGGUGCAUGUUUCGUCAUAAUGCUCCAAUUAUAAUUAAUAUAUAUUUAUUCCAAAAUUUUACCAACUAACGUCUAAAUACGUCAUUUAAUUUAAAACAUAAAUGUGCAAAAUCAAUUCAGCAAUAUUGCAUACAUUUUUGUAUAUAUACUCUUCAAAAAUUGUAAUUUGAGUCUGAAUAUUUACAAGUAUGUUCAAUGCUGCUCUGCUCGUGGUUGUCGCCUCAAGCAAAUUUCUAAUAUUUCAGUUGAUAUAUAUAUAUAAGAAUACAUAUCUAAAUGUCCUAGUUGAUUCACAUUUCCAGCUAAGUUUAUUUCUAAAUGAAAUAAACGAAACGGGUAGCAUAUCUAAAUGUCAUUUUUGUGAUGUGCACACACAAAUGCAUGCAAUUUGAAGAGUAUAUAUGCUAAAUCUUUUUAGAGCCUUUUUGGUGCUAAAGAAUCAAAGAUAGCCUAAGGUUCUUGCACCAAAGCAGCUCGAGGCAACUCCAUUUUUUAGNAAAAAAAAAAAGCACAUGGUGCAUGUUUCGUCAUAAUGCUCCAAUUAUAAUUAAUAUAUAUUUAUUCCAAAAUUUUACCAACAAACGUCUAAAUACGUCAUUUAAUUUAAAACAUAAAUGUGCAAAAUCAAUUCAGCAAUAUUGCAUACAUUUUUGCAUAUAUACUCUUCAAAAAUUGUAAUUUCAGUCUGAAUCUAGAGAAGUAUCUUAUAUUUAUAAGUAUGUUCAAUGCAGCUCUGCUCGUGGUUGUCGCCUCAAGCAAAUUCCUAAUAUUUCAGUUGAUAUAUAUAUAUAAGAAUACAUAUCUAAAUGUUCUAGUUGAUUCACAUUUCCAGCUAAGUUUAUUUUUAAAUGAAAUAAACGAAGCGGGUAGCAUAUCUAAAUGUCAUUUUUGUGAUGUGCACACACAAAUGCAUGCAAUUUGAAGAGUAUAUAUGCUAAAUCUUUUAAGAGUCUUUUUGGUGCUAAAGAAUCAAAUAUAGCCUAAGGUUCUUCCACCAAAGCAGCUCGAGGCAACUCCAUUUUUUAGUAAAAUUAUAAAAUUAUUGUUCAAAGUCAUCAACCGUUAUUGAGCCAAAAGGAUUCAGGAAAAAAACAAAUAAUUAUAUAAUUUUUAGUUUUCGACUAAAAUUACGAAAGCAAUAUUAUAACCAAACUUAUGUGAUUUUUGGAAAUCCAAAUAAACUAUUUUUAUUAAAAAAAUUUUACUAUAAAUAAUGCAUAUUUUUUUUAAUAAACACAUUGCUAGCGAAUUUAUUUUAAAACAAUCAAAUAAAUAUUUUACUAUUUAGUUGAAAAAUAAUAUUGGCGAAGCGGCCACAUGUAAUUAGCCGCCUUAAUUAAUAAGCAGUAACUGUAACUUCGGCGCCACGAGGCGCCUCUGCCACGUGUCGCGCAGCUAUUGGAGUAAAGUGGUACGCUGAGCCACGCGCCGGGCUCCCUCGUGGGCCCCACCCGCCCCACCUCGUUUCCCGGUCCGACCGUGAUUCGCCCGCCACGACCCAACCGACCACGCCCUGGGGAACCGAGCCAAAGUGUGAAUUUACCGUAUAGACCCUGGGAGUUUGACUUUAAUUACGAAAUUGCCACUCCCCGUGAUCCCUUACCUAACCGCUGGGAUUUCCCGUGAUGCGCAUCAAUUAACGGCCGUGAUCGAUGAGGUCACGCCCAAGUAACGUUCCAACCUUGAAGCUUCUAAUUAAGUGAAAUUGUACAGGACCAUUCAUAUUUCGAGAUUAGCCCUUUUUCACUUUUUAUUAAAUUUUUACAAAGUUUCAAUUUCUUACUUAAAAAUGUUUCGAGAUCCUCUCAAUUAUAGGCUAUUCCGAAAUAGUCCUUUCAAAUUUUUUUGUUUUUUUUUUUUUAUUGAGACUUCCUUAGCUAUAUUAUUUUUAUUUAAGUUUUUUAUAUCUAGUUAAAUUAAAAAUUUUAUUGACUUUCAUAAUUUUAUUAGUUACAAGUUAUUAAUUAAUUUAGUUUUAUUUACAAUAAAAUAAUAAAAGUAAUUAAAUUUAAUAAACUUAUUAAUAAAUUUUAUAAAAAAUUUAAAGUUAGUUAACAAAAACUAUUUAAUUAAAAAAGUUUAGAGAAUAACAAUUAAGAAAAUAAAAGUUGAAUAGGCUAUUUUAGAAUGGUCCACCGUUGUGAUUUAAAGCACUGUUAUUUGUACACCCAAAAAAGAUAUACAUCUUACACCUCUUGAUCUAAGGGCAAAGAAUUAGUGUUUGUCUUGUUUUUUUUUAGAUACUAAAAAAUCAAAGGAUUUUUUAAAUAUAGAAUAAAGAGGUGUAAGAUGCAUACUUUAUAUAGAAAAAAUAUAUAAGUAGCAUUUUUCUAUAUUUUAGGCUAAAUUACACUUUUGGUUCUCAAAUACAAUUUGUUGUAAUUUUUAACUUGAACUUUAUAAAUUGUUGCAAUUUUUAGUUCGGCAACAUAUUUUAGUUAGCUAAAUAUUAUAUAUCGCUAAUAUAAAUUAAAAUGAUGUAGCAGUUUCAUGAUUAAUAAUAUGAUAAUAAUUAAAAUAUUGUAUUAUCUUUAUAUUAGUAAAAAAUAAAUAUUUAAUUAAUUAAAAUAGAUUGUAAUUAUAAUAAUCUAUUAAAUAUAAAUUAAAAAUUAUGAUAAAUUUAAGUUUCAAGAUCAAGCACAUUAGAUGAUCAAAAUUGUAAUUUAGCCUAUAGUUUAUGUACAGGGGUAUAUUCAUGCUGUCAAUCGGUGGGCCCCACAGGUGCAUGCGCUGUGUAACGCUGGAUCCCGAUUUUGAAAAUCCCAAGACGUCGUGGGUCCACUGUAUCUCGUAGGUGACACAGCAAGGGGAGACCCCCCCCCGCCACGUAGACGUCGAUCUUCGAUCCGACGGUGGCAGAUGCAUCCUCGUCGUGAUCGAACCAUUCCCUCGCCGACCGUUUGGGGACUGGGCCCCCGAGGGCACUGUCGUCAUUUCACUACCGCGCCAGGCGCGCGACAGAUGUAGUUUGGAUCUGCGCUGCUUUUAUUUCACUAGUUAAAAAAAACGCUUGACAUCGCCUAGGGGCGCCGUAAAUGUACCCUCAUCCAUAUACCAAGGGCAAAUUGGUAAAUUCAUUCAGACUAAAAUGCAUUCACUAAUUUGGAUCGGGGAUACUUCGAGGUACACUUAGGAACACUCUUAGCGAAUGAUCGUUUCGCUAAUUAUCCUGUAAUUCGCGCUAAACAUGGUUACACGACUAUUAGCUUUAGCUAUAAAUAAAUAAUAACCCAGAAAAUUUCAAAAUAUUAUUUUAAUUAAAUAAAAAUAAUUAACGACUUGUAGCAAGUACAUUAAAGAGCCAUCUCUUUUUUUCUCUUCCUCUCCCCGCCUCUCCGAUGUUCCUCUUCUUCUUCGUCUCCGCCUCGGAUGCGGUUCGCGCCCUCUCCGAACCCUAGCCGUGGCGCCGCCGAUCGGCCUCCGACGAAGCGACGAUAGGAUCCUCCGCGACAUGGAAUAGGGCGCGGUGGCGGUCGUGGCGGUGGCGAUCUAUCAAUCGAACGAAGUAGGGCGAAGAGCGAGCUCCGGCCAUGGCCGCGGGGGGGAAGGGGGCGGUGGAGAGGGUCCGGAGAGGGCUCCGCACGGCGCUCUUCAUGUUAACGAUGGCGGCGUCGCUGCUCGUCGCGUCGGCGCCGGUGCUCGUGGCGGUGGGGGACGUGGCGGUGUCGCUCGUGCUCGCGUCGAGGCUCGCGUGCGCGAGGUGCUACGGCGUGAGGGCCCACGUGGAGAGGUACGGCUUCAAGAGCUCGUUAAUGGACGUACCCCUCGUCUCCAUCCUCCGAUCCCUCAUAAUCACAUGUAAGUUUUGGCGACGAGCUUGUGUUCGUAAUGGUUUUGUAUUGAGGUUGUGCAAGCGAUUUUGUUGGUUAUCCCCGUGCUUUUGUUUUGUAGGUUAGCUUUUUCGAAAUGAUUGGAAGAUUAUAUUGUUCUUUUACGGGAAAUUACUUUUUGUUUUCUAUGAACGAAUGCGAAAAUACCUUUUGGAGCUGAGUCUCAUUUGAAUUAUGUUUUUUUUUUUCUCUAACAAAUGAUUAUAGUUUUGUUUCCAUAUUUUUCUAAUAACAUGAGAUUAGAUUUCUGAAAUCUCCAGGAGGUUUUUUUUUUUUUUUGGGUAUAAAUUUGCUUCUAUUGGAUGAGGAUAGUGUAAAUUAUUACAGGGGACCCUUUUGGUAGAACUUAUAUAAUAUUACACUUGUUUGGGGAUUAUUAUGCGAAACGUUCUAUUUUUACAUGUCCUACACAUUUCAUGUUCAUUGAUCAACAUAUAACUUGUCUUAGAACUUAUAUAGAUUGAAAUAUUUGUGUUUUUAUGCCAUUUUCUAGAUUUCACUAUUUGCACCAUUUUCCCUCUUUUUUCUCUCGCCUUUAUAAGUAGUUAUAAUGGGGAAAGAUAAUCAAAAUUUCAAUUAUAAUUUCCCUUGUGGUUGCAGGUGUGUAUUCUAUGUGUGAUAGUCCCGGGCUUUCUCAUGGCCCUUAUCUUGGAUCUGCAACAGUAUGUUCCUUAGCUUCUGUUCUCAUUUUAGCAAUCAAAGCUUGCGUUUAUACGCCUCCAUCUGACGUCGGUCUUGGAGCUCCGCCAUCUAUGGCUAGCCACAAGCUGCAUUUGAAGAGAUCAUGGGGAAUGCCCGUUCUUUUCCUCUCUUCAUUGGUUUUCGCUCUUGGUCACGUUGUCGUCGCGUACAGAACAAGCUGCAGAGCUCGCAGGAGGCUUCUAUUUCAUCGUCUAGACCCUGAAGCUGUAUGUCGGUUCACUUGAUGUUUUUUUUUUUCAUACAAGCAGUUUUUGGGUUGUUCUUCUGUACCUUAUGAUGUUGUGUCUAGCUUGUUGCAUUAUCAUUUUAAACUUGUCAUUCAGUUAAAACUUAGUUUUUGUUUCCUUUUCCUACAAUAUUAUGAACCCAUCCUCAUAGUUUAUUUUAAGAACAAUGCUCUGUUAUCUUGUGCAGUUUCUGUUCUGUGUAAAUUGCAGCACCUGUUUUAUUUGAAGUUUACUAUUAUUUCUAAUUUCGUGACAUUUAAACUCAGGUUUUGGCUGGCAAGAACGUCUAUUCUGGAUACCACAAAGUUUCUCGUUCUUCCAUACCUUGCACUGGAAAAUUUUACUCGAAGAGUGAUAGUGAAACAAGGAGAAAGGCCGUAGUUCGUAAUGAUCGAGAUCUUCCGAUCAGUAUGCUUGCAGACAGUGACAGCUUGUUCAUUGCGUGCCAAGGGCUUACAGUACAUUAUAAGAUUAGUUAUUUUGAUUCGCCGCUUUCUCUUUCCUUAGCCUCCUCAGCGCUACGUGAAAGUUGCAAUAGUGUAACUCCAUCAAGCACUUCCUUGGGAAGGCUUAAAGUUGAAAGUCAUAUCAAUAGGAGCUUUACUAACCAAUACCAUAAUAGCUCUUUAUAUGCUCCACUUUUGGCAGAAUCUGCAACCUCCCCCAAUUCUUUAUCAAAUGAAAUUCCUCAAAUGAGUCUUGAUGGCAGUAGUGAUGAAUGUUCAAGUAAACCAGUGAAUUUCAGAGUUGAGGUAGAGGAAAAGGGGAAGUUUGCUAUUGUCUUGGUACAUGGGUUUGGAGGAGGAGUGUUCGCAUGGAGGCAUGUUAGUAGUGUACUUGCUAGGCAGGUGGGCUGCACAGUUGCCGCUUUUGAUCGACCUGGAUGGGGAUUGACUUCUCGACCACGUAGAAAGGAUUGGGAGGAUAAGCAAUUGCCAAACCCAUAUAAGCUUGAAUCACAGGUUAUUCCAUUACCCUUAUUAGAUAAUAAGUUUCAUUUAUUCAUGUUUGUCUCAGAGAUAAACUUAUACACUAUGGCCUCAUUCCUUGCCCACUUCCACUGCUUUUGGUUUUUCAAACUUAAGGUCUAUUUGUUUGAAUAUUUUGGCAGCUCAUACUUGAGGUCUAUUUGAUUGAUUAUGUUGGUGGACAGACUUCAGUUUUGUUAUUGGUAGUUUGCUUGUUCCAAGCCCUGAACACAUGUGAACGGCCAUUCGUUUUCAGAAAGUGUAAGAAGUAGAAAAAGUUGCCAUGUAUUAUUUCUAUUUUUUUUGUCCCUAAUGAAAACCCUAGGUGUUUAUAUUGCAUAUAAUAUGCCAUUUGACAGUCCAUUCGAUUGCAGAAAACAAAGAAAUGGAAGCAGUACCAAACCAGGCUUAUAUAUGCAUGCGAGCAUUCCAGUAGUUCUCUAUCUCAGCUAGGUUAAAUAGAAUAUUUUUCUGUUUUUGCUAGUUUCUUUGCUUGUGCUAAGGAGCUGGAACCAUUUGCAGAAAUUGUAUUUUGUGGUCUUCUUUUGAAACAUUGUUGCUGCAAUUGCAUUAAAAUUGUCAAUUCAUCAUGUUGCUGCAUGAUAAAUAAUAUUGUUCAAUCCUAACUUUUUUGUUUUUUGAGGAUACAGACUUUGGGAAAAGAUUUAAAGUGGGUUAGUUUUUGGAAUAGGACAGCUAUAACAUGGAGGUGGCACAUGCAGAGGCAUGUGAUCCAUUAUCCAUCUCUUAUGAAGCUCCCUCGAGAAUUCGUAUUCCCACACUGGGAAGAAUAGAACGACUAGAAAGAUGGUAUGUGUAUAUUGAUGAUGAUGAUGAUGAUGAUGAUGAUGAGAACAUUUACAAAUCACAUCUUUUGUAAUUAUUUAGGAAGACUGAUAGAUAUGUUUGAACUAAGUAUAUAAUAGGCUCAAACCUCAGAUCCAAAGCUUUAAGGUCGUCUCUGUUUUAGGGUCCCUAAGGCUGAUGGGGUCGGGGUACCGUUGUCUUGCAAUGAUGGAUACCAGAGAUCAACACAAAGCUUUAAGGUCGUCUCUGUUUUAGGGUCCCUAAGGCUGAUGGGGUGGGGGUACCGUUGUCUUGCAAUGAUGGAUACCAGAGAUCAACACAAUAUGGGUGAACGCAAAUUGCAUGCUGUUGGAGUAUUUUAUAAAAUUCCAAAUACUAACCACUUAGCCAACUUAAGAUUGAGACGAGACGAAACCUUGGAGAACCAAGUUUUAGAGAGAUAAAAUUUUCAAGUUAUUUCCAUCGUUUGUCAAAAACCAAAACUUCGAAAUCGUUAAUGAAUGCCUAAAGUUUCUUUCUAAAUUAGAUUUUUAAUAAGUUUUAGCUUCUCUUUGAUAUGUAAAUAGAUGAUUCCUCUACUUUCCUGAGCUAUAUUGGAAUCCUCAUUAGAGGAGCACCAUGGAAGAAGCUUUAUAAUAUAAACUUCACUAAUUUAUCUCAUUAAAGUAUAUUAGUAAAUUAUGAAAACAUAUGUAUUAUCAACAUUUGUAUUACAUAUUAUUAACAAUUGUAGUUUGAAGCUCUUUCUGUAGUGCUUCUGUGGUGGAACUCCAAUGAAGCUUUGGGGGAAGUGGAGAAUGACUUACCUAUUAUAGAUGGAGAGAGAAACUAAAGCGUUCUAAGAGGCCAAUCUAGGACUAAAGAAAAAGCAUUCGAAAAGGCCUCGAAGUUUGGGUUCGGUUAACAGAGGAACUGAAAACAUUAUUUCUUUGGUUCACUAAGGUUUAGUCAUCCUCAUCUUGAAGUGAUUGGAUGGCUGGUUGAUAUUUGUCCUACGAAUGGCUUGGGUUUAUGCCACCUAUAGCCCUGUCACAUGCCAACCAAUUAGCCCAGUUCCAAGGAAAAACUUCGAGAUAGGCAUGUAUAAAUUUGGCAGAUGGGAAUCAUAUGGAUCAAGAACUUAUAGUAAUCUAUAUGGAGAUAUCUCCUGUACUUGUGCAAUUAUGAAAAUAUGAUAUCAACAAAUAAAAUACAAGGUAGUAUCUAAAUCAACACUGCUGAUAUGGAAAAGCAGGUAUCUUAACUAUGGUAAUAAUGAUUUGUUAGAGGCCUUCUUAACCAAUAGAGCAAUAAUGUCUUCUUUUUUUUUGAGAGAGAGAGAAAGGUAGCAUGCUACCUGCUUCGUUUAUUUUAUUUAAAAAUAAACUUAGCUGGAAAUGUGAAUCAACUAGGAUUCGAACUUGGGUCUCGGGUACCAACCACCAAGCCCUUUUGCCACUUGCGCUAGGAACGGUCGGUAAUAGAGCAAUAAUGUCAUGCCCAAGGAGCAGCAUCGUAUAUGUAGAAGAAGGGUGAUUUUAAUGCUAACGAAAAGGAAAGUUUGCAGUCAGCAUUCGAGAUUUCAGUAAAUCAACUGACAUUUUCAAAUAAUCUAGGUAGCUAGAUGCUGAUUUCUAUUGCAAGCACGGGGUCACUAGGCUAUGGUUAGUCUCUGAGUAUAUAUUGGAAAACAGAUGUCUACAAGUAGCUGGUUGUUCCAUUGGUUGAAUGAAAAAGGAAACAGGCAAGCUUCUCCUUCAGCUAUGAGGAGGAAACGUGAUUCCUGAAUUUCUUUGAUGAAGUAAGAAAUGGAAAGGAAGAGCUGUACUGUAGUUUCUGGAAAAGACAAGUUCAAAUGAGCCAAGAGAUGAUAUCCCACUCUGUUUGAUGCUACUUGAUUAAUUGUUUCAGUCAAGUUGUUUGCUUAUUUCAUACAUCGUACUUUGUUUCAGCUAUUAGAUCAAAGUGUGCAACUUUUGAAGACCAUGGCUCUUCUUUUGUAAACAUGUGCAGGUUGAUCUUCUUAUCGCUUUCUGUUCGGAAAUGGGCUUUUCUUCUGUAGUUUUUGUUGGUCAUGAUGAUGGAGGCCUUCUUGCACUGAAGGCAGCUGAGAAAAUUCAGACCUUUGUAGAUUGCAAAGUAAGUGACUGACAUCACAACUGCAGUUAAAUUUUCUUUUUGUUAGAUAAGCAUAAAAUUGUAGCUUAUAAAUGCUAUUAGUACUUGUAUUAACUUGCAGUAAUGCUGUUGUUUAACAUGUGCUUUUUUCUGUUUAAAAUAUCAUAACAUUUCCCAUACUCAUUUCUUACAAAAUUAUACAUUAGUAUAUGUUGUUUUCCUCUGAUGGCUUGGCUUUUUUGCUACAUUAUCCUUCUAUUAGGUGGAAGUAAAGGGAGUGGUUCUAGUAAGCGUCAGCUUAUCCAGAGAAGUUGUCCCUGCCUUUGCCCGGAUACUUCUGCAUACUCCGCUAGGGAAGAAGCACAUGGUUCGCCCUCUGCUCCGUACUGAGAUUACUCAAGUUAUUAACCGUCGUGCAUGGCAUGAUCCCACUAAGUUCACAUCAGAGGUUCUGAGCCUCUACAAGGUCAAGGUCUUAAACAUCAUAAUCUUUACCUCAGUGCCAGAAAGUACCUUAUUUCUUUAAGGAUAUAUUACUUCCUUGAUAAAUUGGAAAUGCCAAUAGGGAAGUAAUUACACUACUCUUCUAGCAAUUGAAAAUAACUGCAGAAGAGAAGAUCACUUAAGCAGUAUUUUUUUUUUUUGCUAAUUAAAAUGAUUCAUUUUGAACUCAGGCACCAUUGUUCGCAGAGGGUUGGGAUGAAGCGCUUCACGAGAUCGGACGGCUGUCCUUUGCAACAGUUCUCUCAGCGCAAAAUGCAGCAUCGUUACUAAAAUCCAUCGAGGACCUUCCUGUUCUGGUUAUAGCCGGUGCUGAGGAUGUGCUCGUGCCUCUCAAGUCGGCCCAAGCCAUGGCUUCCCAGCUCGUGAACUCUGUAAGAAUUUUUUUCGCGCUUUCUCACCUAAUUUUCACGUAGAAUCAAUAAAUGAUCAAGUCUCCUCCAUCAGUUAUAUUAAUGCUUUUCAUAUCGCUCGCUGUUCGGCAGAGAGUUGUUGCAAUUUCCGGCUGCGGGCAUUUACCGCACGAGGAGUGUCCGAAGGCGCUCCUUUCGGCCCUCUCUCCUUUCAUAUCGAGAUUGCUAUCUUCGGCAGACGCUUUACAAAGACAUUAGCAUUUUCUUUUUUCAUUUCCUUUAUUGUUUCUCCUGCAAUGAGAAGAGUAGAUCUCGCCCUUUCUCUCUUUCUCUCUCUCAUGGUUUGAGUCCUUAGUCCUGGAGCCAGACCCACUACUUGGCGGGGUACUAGAGCUCCCGUAAUUUUGUCGUGGUGUUUUUACAGCCGUUCAUGUAAUCUCUCUGUUAGAGUUAUUUCUAUUAAGCAAGUUAGAUUUGUACAGCAGGCAAUGCAUAACCAUUAACAUCGCAUUGUGGAGCGCAUCUCAGUUUAAUUACUGGUUGGCAUGUAUCAUCGAGAUUGUAUUGAUUAUUAGUAUUCUAAAUCGCAUUGCUACCGAUGUCAAUUUGGCGUGAUAUGGAGUGUGCAUACCAAGUAUUUUUGCUGCUUGUUUAGUCGCCUUCUUCUUGGUUUUUGGGUUGGGGAUUAACUUUUUGCUCGUUCCGAUAGUUCUCUGAAAAGGUAUAGGGCCCCUUUGUUAUCAUUUUUUUUUAAAAAAAUUUAUAUUGAAUUUUGUAUAUAAAAAAAAGCGCAGGAGUGAGCAGUAUGUUGCUUGCAGAUUUUUAUUAAAGACAUUUAUUUGACAACAGAAAGUAAAAGCUUGGAUUUUUUUCAUUUUGCUUCCAAAAUUAUUGUAAAUAAGGAAUUAUUUAUUGCUCAGCCAGAUGCAUUAUAAGUUAAUCAAUUAGAAUAACAAAUUAUUAUUUUUGACACCUAUUAAAUUAUAUAAAAUUAGUAUUUAUAGAAAUUUAAAAUUGACGACUACUCCAAACAACGACUAUAGUAUUUUAAUAUUUUUCCUAAUUUUUUAAGAUACCUUAUGUCACUUUGACUUAUUCGGAUUUUAUUUUAUUUAAAUUAUCUUUAAUUGCAGUUGGCAUUCUUAAAUAAGCUUAUUAAAAGCUCAAAUCUCAAUGUCAAGCUCAAGUAGCUAUAUUAAUAUUGGUGCCUAUUUGCCUUACUUCAACUUCUAGCUUCCAAUAGUUCUAAUGGAACCAUACCUAAUGGCUAAAAAUUUAAUGAUUAGCAUAGUAACAAGACUAGUUACUUUAUAUUUUUAACCAAGUUCAUUUCUAAAAUAAAUAAAUAAAUAAAAUAGUGAGGGCACAACCUUUUUGUCAAAAAAUAAUAAUAACAAUAAUAGUGGAGAAUUUGUCAUGCAAACAAAUUUAUUUUUCUAUUCAAAACUAGUAAUGUAUUAUACACUAUAUACCCUAAUAAACGUGUUCAGAUUCUCUACAAAUUUAUGCUUAAGAAAUUUCUGCAUACAGGAUCAUCGUGUCGCGCAUCUCACAAUGCAUGGGAUUAAUUUGAACCAUCCUACUGUACAUCAGACGGUUUAGAUUUAUCAUGUAGCAAAUUUACAGUCAAAAGCUCUCAUGUUAAGUAAUUCCAUGGACUAGUAAGUACGCAAAUACAUAUGAAUAUAUUUUUCUUUUUUUGAUAGAAAUAUAAAAAUAUAUUUUAACCCACUCACUAUUAUAUACUUAAGAUUAUAUUAUUUACAAAAUUAAAUCAAGUAUGACCAAUGCUAUUUGUAUAUAAAAAAAAAAUGUAGAUCUUAUACUCCGUCAUCCAAGGGUGAUAAUAUUGGGUUCUUAUCUUGUCAAAAAAUAAUAAUAAUAAUCCUAAAAACCUAAAGAAAGUUUAAAACCCUAGGAUGAGGGAGCCCUUCCAAGCGAGUAUUUUUUUUCAAUUAAAAAAAAUAAGUAAAAAAAAAAAAGAUAAAAGUUAGAAAUAAAAUCAGAAAAGAAAAUUUGUAAAAAAACUAAUAGUGGAAAACACAUAUAAGGAGCUCACUUCUAAGAAACAUUUUUUUAAAGACAAAAGUAAAAGAAGAUUAAAAUUUAAAAAAUAAAUAAAUUUGACCGGUUUGCUUUUAAUUUUAAAAAUAAAACUUUAAAAAAUUUUGGGGCUUGAUUGCAACCUUAAAAAAAUGAAAUAAUUAAUUAUUCUGACAGAGAUAUGAAAUUAUUUUAGUUUUGAGAAAUUUUAAAAAAUAUUGUGCAUUAUUUGUAUUUUUUUGGAAAAAAAGAGCUUGUGAAAUUUUUUAAAAAAACAAUCAAGUGUUGUCUAAGUUUAUCAAAAGGCUCAAAAAAAAAAAAUCACAUAUAACACUAACAAAAUAAAUAUGACUUAUUUUACAGUAACAUACGCUAGUAACGCUACAAUAUAAAAUUGUUUUUCUUAAUAACCUGACUAAAAUAAAAUGUAGUCUAGAUUUAUAUAUUUGUUAUAUUUUAUUUUAGGGAAAACUUCAAAAACCCUCCUGUGGUUUCACAUUUUUUUAUUUUAGUACCAUGUGAUUUAAAGUAUAUCAAGUUAGUACCCUAUGGUCUCUCACUUUAUCACUUUAGUAUCCUGUGGUUUAAAGUGUAUCAAGUUAGUACCCUGUGGUUUUGCACUUUAUCACUUUAGUAUCACGUGGUUUCACACUUUAUCACUUUAGUACCCUAUAGUUUAAAAAAUCACAGGGUACUAACUUGAUACAAAAUUAAAACCAUAGGGUACUAAAGUGAUAAAGUGCAAAAUUAUAGGGUACUAACUUGAUACACUUUAAACCACAGGAUACUAAAGUGAUAAAGUGAGAAAUCACGGGGUACUAACUUGAUACAUUUUAAACCACAGGGUACUAAAGUGAAAAAAAUUAAAACCACAAGGGGAGUUUUUGAAGUUUUUUCUUUAUUUUAUUUUAUUUUAAAGUAAUGCCAUUGGUACAUUUCAAAAUAAAAUGUAUAUAUUACAAUCUAUUUCUUCAAAAAUUAUCAUCAAUAAUUUUUUUACAUUUAUAAAAUAUAUUUAAAUUUUUAUAAAUUUUAAGAUGGAGGUGUAAAAUAUAUACACACCUUUUGGGAUACAAAUAACAUUUCUUAAAUUUUUUUCCUACGUAGAUGGCCAUUCUAAAGGACACAUUGAAUAAAGACCUCGGUAACUUUAUCUGAUUUGGAAUACACACUCAAUACUUCUUCUUCUUUUUUUUCUGAUUGAGACUCUUAUAAUUUUAAUUUUCAAAAUUAAAUAAUUUUAGUAUAAAAAAUCUAUAAUUUUUUUAAAAUUUAAUUAUAGUUUCAUCAAAAUUAAUAAGUUUAAUUAUUUUUUAGUUAAAAAAAGUUAGUACAUUUAUAGCUCAACUUAAUACCUACAAUCAUUUUCAGCAAAUAAUCUUGAUCAAUUAAUGAUUUAGUUAGAUAAUUAGUUAAAAAAUUUGUAACGGCCAUGCCUAAAAUACUUAAGCUCAAUUAUUAUUUGCCGAUAAUUGGUUAAGAAAUUUGUAACUGUCAUGCCUAAAAUACUUAAGCCCAAUUAUUAUUUGCCGAAACUCAUCCUAUGCUUCUAGCUGGUGAUUGAUUCUGAUACCAAAUGUAACGAUUCGAUUCGCAAGCAAUGAUAACUUGUUGGGUCUAAACCAUUUAUUAUUAGUGUCCAUAAUCUCUUAUUAUAGCAAACACAAUUUCAUUUCUAUCCGUGAGACUAUUAGAGUGUCACAAAAUAUUAAUUAAAUAAUAAUUUAAUUUAUUUAAUUAACUAAUUGUUUAUGAUAUUGCAAGAUAAAACUAAAUAUUAAUUAAUAAAAUAAUUAAUAUUGUAUACUAUUAAUUAAUAAUUUAAUGAAUCAUAAGUAAUUUAAUAAAUUAAAUAAUUAAAUAAUUAAUAGUUAGAUAAUUAAUUAAUAAAAUAAUUAAAUUUGUCAAAUAUUAGAUUAAUUAAAGAGCUAAUACAAUAAUUAAAAUUAUAUUUAUUUUAAUUAAAUUUGUUCUCAAGUUGAAACAAGUUUGUCUUCCAAAAGGAUCAGAAUAGUAGUUUUAGACUUAUAUCAAUUUAUAUCAGCUUAUUUUUCAAAACUAAAAACUUCUAUUUUCAAACUUUCAAAAUAGUAUUUGAAUACAAAUAAGGGUCCAUUUAUUUUGGUGUAAAUUGAGUGAUGGAAUUCAAGUUCCAUCACUUCCGUUAUUUGUUUUGAUGUAAGUCAAAAAUAUAAUGUAAUUCAAGUUAUAUUAGACCACCACUUCACCUCCUCUCGACUUUCUCCUCUAAAGUGCCUAACUCGACUUCCACUGCACUCAAUCUUCUUUAAAAAAAUUUAUUAAAUAGUAAAAGCUAAACUCUACUUUUUUUAUAAUGAAUGAGAAUUAUGUUAUUUAUAACAAAUUAAAAUUAUCUUUAAAUAAUAAUAGAAAAAUUAAUUAUAUAAGGCCAAUUUGCAUAAAAUAUCCACUUAUUUUGGACUUUUGCAAAAUCGGACCACCUUUUUCGUUUUUGCAGAUUCGGUCCGCUCCUUAUUACUUUUUCUCUUUCCUCUUUCUCUCUCUUCUUCGUUUCUCUCGUUCUUUUUUUUUUCUCGCCGGCAGAGCGGAGGCGGAAACGGUCCGUCUCGCCUCUCACCCUCAUGCUCUCGCCCUCGUCCAUGCACCCCCCAUCUUCCUUGCCUCCGACCCCGCCAAGGCCGCACCGCAACUUUUUUUUUUUGCUUUUUUCUUUUCUUUUCUUCUCCGACUCUUCUCCACCGUCUCCGACGACGACGCCUCUCGCCCUUCCCUGCCCUUCUCAUCUCUCCCUCUCCCCCAUUUUCUGCCGGCGAAGAUACGCCUCCGACGACGAUUUAUCUUCGCCGGCGCCGACGUCGACACCGUAGAAAUCACUGCGGCGCUACAGCCUCGGAGCAGGAGAUCCUUAGCGGCGUCGUCACCGACGCCGUAGCUGUCGGCAGAGAAGGUGACAAAAAAAAUUAUAGAAAAAACAGAAAAAAAAAAUAAAGAUAAAAAAUUAUAUAAAAAGAAUGAUGAAGAUGAAAUUGCAUCUUUAAUUAAAAAAAAAAUUAUAAGUUGCACUAUUUAAGAUGUAAACUGCUGCUUUAAGAUAAAAAUUAUACUCUUUGAACGAAAAUUAUACUAUUUUUUAUCUUAAACUGCAUCCUUUUAAGUGAUAUUUAUACUGUUUCUUCUUUUGUUGCACUGUUUCUCCUUUUGUUUACACAGAAAUGGUGCAACAAGAGGAGAAACAGUGCAACAAGAGGAGAAACAAUAUAAAUAUCUCUUAAAAGGAUGCAGUUUCUCCUCUUAUUGCAUUGUUUUUUCUCUUGUUGCACUAUUUCUCCUAUUGUUUACAUAGAAAUGGUGCAAUAAGAGGAGAAACAGUGCAACAAGAGAAGAAACAGUAGAUAUAUCUCUUAAAACAGUGCAGUUUCUCCUCUUGUUGCACUAUUUCUCCUCUUGUUUACAUAAAAAUGGUGCAACAAGAGGAGAAACCGUAUAUAUAUAUAUCUUAAAACAGUGCAGUUUCUCCUCUUGUUGCACUGUUUCUCCUGUUGUUACACUAUUUUUCCUCUUGUUUAUACAGAAAUGGUGCAACAAGAAUAGAAACAGUGCAACAAGAGGAGAAACAAUAUAAAUAUCUCUUAAAAGGGUGCAGUUUAAAAUAAAAAAUAGUGUAACAAGAGAAGAAAUGGUACAACAAGAGGAGAAACAGUGCAACUUUUGUUUAAAGAGUGUAACUUUCAUCUUAAUGGAUGCAGUUUACAUCUGAAAGAGUGUAAUAAGAAGAGAAACAGUGUAAAUAUCUCUCAAAGAGUGUAAUUUUCGUUUAAAGAGUGCAGUUUUCAUCUUAAAGCUGCAGUUUACAUCUUAAGUAGUGCAACUUAUAAUUUUUUUUAUAGUUAACGAUGCAAUUUCAUAUUCAUCCUUCUUUUUAUAUAAUUUUUUAUCUUUAUUUUUUUUUUUCUGUUUUUUCUAUAAUUUUUUUUUGUCACCCUUUCUGCCAACAGCCACGGUGCCGGCGAAAACGCCGCUAAGGACCCCCGCUCCAAGCCUGUAGCGCCGCAGUGAUCUCCACGGUGUCGACGUCGGUACCGGCGAAGAUGCAUCGUCGUCGGAUGCGGCAGAGAAUGAGGGAGAGGGAGAGAUGAGAAGGGCGGGAAAGGACGAAAGAGGCGUCGUCGUCGGAGACGGUGGAGAAGAGUCGGAGAAGAAAAGAAAAGAAAAGAAAAAAGCAAAAAAAAAAAAAAGUCGCGGCGCGGCCUUGGCGGGGUUGGAGGCGAGAACGGUAGGGGGUGCGUGGACGAGGGCAAGAGCGAGGGCGAGGGCGAGAGAAUGAGGGUGAGAGGCGAGACGGACCCUUUCCGCCUCCGCUCUGCCGGCGAGAAAAAAAAAAAAAAACGAGAGAAACAAAAAGGAAAGAGAAAAAGUAAAAAGGAUAUUUUGAUCAGUUUACUGAAAAAACGGACCGAAUCUGCAAAAACAAAAAAGGUGGCCCGGUUUUGCAAAAGUCUAAAAUAAGUGAAUUUUUUAUACAAAUUGGCCAUUAUAUAAUAACUUAAAUUUUAUAACAAUAAAUUAGUAUUAUAUUUAAAAAAUACCCCGCCCAAAAAAAAAACACGUAUUUCCAUUUCUAUGGUUUCGUUAAUUAAAAAAGAAAAAACUUCAAAAACCCCCCCUGUGGUUUCGUGCAUUCUCACUUUGCUACCCUGUGGUUUAAAACGUAUCAAUUUACCCCCCUGUGGUUUCAUUUUUAUCUUUUCGGAAGCUUUUUCGUUAAUAUUUCGUUAAAUUAUAUACAAAAAACUUCAGAUAACCAUCUAUAUUUAUCGAAUAGUCACUUUAGUAUCUUUUAAUUUUAACUUUGUCACUGAUUUUAAAAAAAAAUAAUAAUAAAAUUGAUAACAAAAAGAUAAAAACGAAACCACAGGGGGACAAAUUGAUACGUUUUAAACCACAUGAUAGCAAAGUGAGAAUGUACGAAACCACAUGGGGUUUUUUCAAAGUUUUC